CCUGCGAGAGAAUGCAAGGAAGGUCUAGGAUAUGUCCAAAUGAGCCGGAAAUUGGCACAAGAUUGUAGGCAAGGGUUUUGGGGUGGUUCUGGUGGAGCCAAACCGCUGCCGCGAAGAAAGCUUCGUCUUGGUUACAUUUUCCACCAUAGUCGCGUAUGUCUAUGAAGUUGCAAAUGAGUUUAUGGGUGGUUAGAGGAUUGUGCGACCAGCUGAGGGAAACACUUGGUUCAUCAGAGUUUUGUGGAAUUCCACGGUCGACAUGGCGUCCUUGGCGCAGUGGAAGUACAGAUCAACGCAUGGGUUGUUGAUGUUGUGGAAGCCUAAUUGGGGUUGUUUGAAUUUGAACCGAUCGGACCGCAGCAGAGCAAUUCUUGUGAAUUGCGGUCAAACGACCUUAUUUCAGCAUGCUUUCAGAAUCGAUAUCACUAGCAGGAAUGCUCGCGCUUUGCUGCGAGUUUUCAAACCAUGGAUAAUAUUCAUAGAAAAAAUAACUGAAAAUGCUACAGAAUUACAAUAACAUUCUUAAACGUAGCAAUUCAGACAACACAUGUUUCACAUGAGUAACACUCACAAAACCACACAUUUACACAAUUAUCUCCAAAUGAAAGAAAGCAAGAGAUAGGUGAAUUGAUCCAUAAAAUAAGUAGUUCAAUUUACAUUGCUACUAUCUUGUAACUUAUUAGAGCUUCUUUGCAGAUCAAUCAUAAUGAUUUCUUCAUUGCUUUCACCAAAUAUUUCUAUAGUUCUACUCUAGUAGUCCAAUCGACAGAACAAAUAGCAAGUGCGAUUUUAUUCACUGCUUUGAAUGUGUUGUAAAGAUAAUACCACCAACUAUGGGUGGCAAUUGAUUCUUGUGAUAACAUACUAUAAAAGUAAAGGUAUGGAUAAAAAAGAAAAUGCGUCCUUUGAAAGAUCUAGAACAAACCUGAAGAAGAACCUGAAGAAGCACCUGAAGAAGAACAUCAAACAUCCCUGUGGUGAUCAUAACAUGCAAUACCCAAAGAAAAAUAAUUUAAGAAAAAAUAAACCUAUUCAUCACAUAAUGCUAAAAUACAUAUGCCAACAUAUCCAUAAUUUCUAUGUUUACGGAACAUCUUUCGAUAAAUCACAACCUUCAUUUUAAAAUGGACUUUUGUAUUUGUAUUUUGCUUGUGAGUAUGGUCUUGGUUAAAACUUGGCAUUCUAGCAUUUACUUAUAUGAUAUCAUAUAGCAAGAAAGCUAUGAGACCCGAGUCAGUUUAUUGUAUUCUCAGACCCUCAAAAUACUAGAGCUAGACAGAGAUAAACAACAACACGAAAGAGAAACUUCUACUUUACAUGUACACUAACAUUUGCAUGUGCAAAGCUCUCUUUCCUCCUUUCCUUUCUUUUCUUCCUCACCUUUCGGUUCUUUCUCCUAGAUUAAGGAGAUUGUUGUUUUGUUGUUAGUGGUUGCCAUCAUCAUCAUCACAUUCAAAUCAACUUUUGUAAUUAAGGCGUUCUACGCGCGACUUAUAUAAUUUAAAUGAUAACAAAAGAACGGUUGAUCUCUGAUCUAAUUGCAGACACAAUCUGCAGAACCGUCUUCUAUGGGAUUUGAACUUAUGAAGUGUGAGGUGGAGACCUGAAUGUAACAAAUUGGUUUUAAGUGAAUAAUUCCAAACAUAUAAAAUUUAGAUCAUCACACCGAACGCAAACCGAACAAUUAAAUAAAGAACUGAAGGCAUAAGCAAUCUAACUAGACAAAUAAGUGAACUUUCCCAUGCCAAAAUCUGAAAGGCCAACAGAAAUAUUUCAUUACAGCACAGAAGACAAAACUUAAAACUAAUCAAACUUAGGUGAACCAAUUAUAGAGAACAUAACCCUUGUAACCAAUCGGGAAAAGAUGCUUAAACAAAAUUAAGAGGAGUUUUUAAAAAAACCAUCAUUUCAAUUAUUUUCCAGUCUUACAUUUGGAUUAAACAGAAAAUAUAAGUAAAAAUGCCAACUUUCUUAAAAAACUACGACUAUUUUUACAAAUUUCCAAUACCCAAUACUGAAAAAUGAGAAUCACGAAGCAAUGAAGAACGGAACACGCGAGAACCAAAAAGUUAAAAACAACACGUAACCAUUUCAAAGGCCCAAAAUCCUGCAAGGACAAAAAAAUCCGAUAAAAUAAGUACAUCAGCACUCCCUGCAAAACCCCAAAAUCAGAAAAUUAUAAAAAGAACCCAAAAUCAGUGGCAUGGUCCUCGUUUCUCCAUCAUUCAGUAGCUAAUGACCUAAUGGAAAAGAACCCAAAACAUACAGCUUAAAAUAUGGAAAGUGCUUAUAAAAGCUCAUGAAUAACUUUCAAAGCCUGCAUAGAAAUGGUAUAGCGCAGAUAACAACAGACAAUAAAACUAUGCACAGUAUAACCUAAAUCUGAUAUGUUGCAUUCCACACACACAGAUUGUUCAAAAUUAAUUUCGUCUCCGUCUUUUUUCAAAUCUGAUAAAAUCCCCAAAACACAAAAAAUAGCAGCUAACUAUUUUUUAAACUCUGUAAACAACGAUAUGCAUCUUAACCCAUUUAACAUAUUCAUAAAAUAACAUCAAACACAUUUAUGCAUGAGAUAAUAUAGAAGUGAAGUCUCACAACUUUCAUAAAAAGUUAUUACUUUGUUAGAGAAAGGCUUGAAAAAAUAUGUAAAUUACUCACGUCUAUUACAAAAAUGUUACAACAGCAGACAAAAAAGGCCAAAAAUACCAAAAGCCGCACCUCCUGAAAUAAAAACAUAACCAAACGACACAUUCACAGUAUCAAUCUAAACGAUAUCCAGAAAAAAAAUGAAAUGAACAGACAAAACCCAUGUAAAUAUACAGAACAAACCAAAAGAAAAAAAAAAGAACUGAAGCCAGUAAGAAGAUCACAAAUCUGAUAAAGCAAAAGGUAACAUAAUCUAUAUCGAUUUAAUUAUCCAUCCAAAAUGACAGAAUCUAUAUCGAUUUAAUUAUCCAUCCAAAAAGACAUUUGAACGAAGAAUAUUUUUAAGGAUCCAAACAACCAUUAAACUAAACAAUUAAAAGUAAAAACAGCAAAGCAUUCAUUGAAGAAAUAUAUAUAUAUUAUAACGUAUUUGGUUUUUUAUACCUAAAAGAAAAACAUUGGCUUUCUUGUAUGCAUUGAAGUAUGCAUGUGUCGGAAAUUUACAAUCUAUAGAGACUCAAUCUUAGACUCAAAAAGACAUUUAAAGGAAAAGUAAUAAGAAAAAUAAGUAGUGGUUUUACCUAUACUCCAUGUGUGGACUCCAAUUUUCAAUCACAAUUCAAAAUUCAAGAGGCCUAUAAAUCAACCAAAUAGGAAAUGAUCAGUGGAAGAAAAAGAAAAACAACUGAAGCCAAAAUAGCAUCUAACAAAUCAUUUAGAACCAUCACAGAAAACAAUUUUUGCAUAUAAGUAAUUUAAAGGAAUACCAUCAGGUCAUGCAUAUAUACAACGUACCCAAUUAGAUAAGAAGCACAUCAACAAUUGAUGAUCAAAAAGUUAGUCAGCCUCAAUUGCUUGAAUCCAAUUAACUCAAAGAUAAUAAACAGUCCAUUUAACGCACGGGCUGACUGUCAAUUUUAUAAAGCUAUAAUUCUGUGCAGUUCAAAAACCAAGUGGAAGAAUAGGCAAAAACUAUCUCAUCGCCUGUAAAUGUAAUUAACUAAAUAUUAAACUUCACAGCCACAAAUAAACCUAAAUUCCUCCUAAAACUAUCUCAUUUAAGCUUGAUUUUACUAUAAUCUAUAAGUGUGGUAAAAAAUGGGAGGCCAAACGAUUUGUUAACAAAAAAGGUAGACAUAGAAGUAAAAGGAACAGGGCAGACAUUAGUUGAGGAGAAGCUAAUGUCACCUUGAAUUGACGACAAACAGUUCUUAUCUUCUCGAAUUAACGAAGAUAAGUACCAUUUUUCUUUAAUUCAAGGUAAUAUAAAAAGAAAUUAUACCUGUACAGUGUUCAGAUGUAGCAAUCCUAUGCAAUCGGCUAAAUGAUGUGUGUCCUCUCAAAGAUCUGUAUAUCCAUUACAGACUAAUCUUCAGUCUUGCAGAAAAUGAUAUGUUGACUACAAUUUCCCAUACUACUAAAAAACACAAAUAAUUCUAUCUACAAACCAAAUAAUACGUGCAACUUUAUGCUACAAUGGUAGAAUAAGAUGGUUGUACAGGACGACACAAAGAUUGAGACUUUUUUUUACUUCUAAAAUUCUACACACUUUCGAGCCCUAAAUUUUCGCGGAAACAAAAGAAAGUGAAAGAAGUCGUACCUGGUUUGAGAGAGUGGGACGCCAUCGGCGAGUUUGGUGUAGCAGUGAUGGCGGAGAUCUCUGGUGAGAAAGCUAAUAAGAUGGACAAAAUCAUUGAACAAAAAAAACCUCGAUUUUUAAAAUUAAAGUCAACAAAAAUUUGAACAAAGAAAAGAGAACUCAAACCCGAAACAAAUAAGUCGGAGAACUCGCCAGGAAACCCAAAGUUUCUGCAGGAUUGGCGAUUUCCUGAAAACCAAGCUUUUGUAGGUUUAAAAUUUCUUCCCUAAGGCAACAGAUCCAACAUUCCCAACUUUAAGCUAUUUCAGCUACAUAAUAGAAAGAAAAAAAAUUUAAUUUAUAUAAUUAACUAAUCUGAUUUAAGAUUAAUCGAAAAGCUUGGAAAUUUCAGCUUUAAAAUUACAUGUCAGGCUGCAAAUCUAAUAAAAAGCGUAGAAUUUUAAAAAUGCUGACCUUAAAUACAGAGGCCUUCGCAGGCUGCAAAGAAACGUCAGAAACCCGAAAAACCGGAUCUCCUGAAACCAAAAACAAAACCAAAUUAACCAUCAUCACCCAUAAUUCGAAGCCACAAACAAAAUCCCCAAAAUUACAACCCAAAAAUUUAAACAAAAAAACCUAUUUAUAAAUCCAAAUUUACACUCCCAAGUGCAAGACUCUAAGCUCCAACUGUUCUUUCUCAACUUUAGCUAUUUCAGCAACAUAACAUAAAUAACAACAACAACAAAACCUUUUCCCACUAAGUGGGGUCGGCUAUACGAAUCCUAGAACACCAUUGAGCUCGGUUUUGUGUCAUGUCCUCCGUUAGAUCCAAGUACUCAAGUCUUUUCUUAGGGUCUCUUCCAAAGUUUUCCUAGGUCUUCCUCUACCCCUUCGGCCCUGAACCUCUGUCCCGUAGUCACAUUUUCGAACCGGAGCGUCAGUAGGCCUUCUUUGCACAUGUCCAAACCACCGGAACCGAUUUUCUCUCAUAUUUCCUUCAAUUUCGGCUACUCCUACUUUACCUCGGAUGUCCUCAUUCCCAAUCUUAUCCUUUCUCGUGUGCCCACACAUCCCACGAAGCAUCUUCAUCUCCGCUACACUCAUUUUGUGUACGUAUUGAUGCUUCACCGCCCAACAUUCUGUGCCAUACAACAUCGCUGGCCUUAUUGCCGUCCUAUAAAAUUUUCCCUUGAGCUUCAGUGGCCUACGACGGUCACACAACACGCCGGAUGCACUCCUACCCUUCAUCCAUCCAGCUUGUAUUCUAUGGUUGAGAUCUCCCUCUAAUUCUCCGUUCUUUUGCAAGAUAGAACCUAGGUAGCGAAAACGGUCGCUUUUUGUGAUCUUCGCUAGAUUGCUCCGGUCAUUAGUGUGGAUAAGUAUAUAAAUGGAUAGAGAUAGGAAAGCAAACACAAGAUGUACGUGGUUCACCCAGAUUGGCUACGUCCACGGAAUAGAGGAGUUCUCAUUAAUUGUGAAGGGUUUACACAAGUACAUAGGUUCAAGCUCUCCUUUAGUGAGUACAAGUGAAUGAUUUAGUACAAAUGACAUUAGGAAAUAUUGUGGGAGAAUGAUCUCGUAAUCACGAAACUUCUAAGUACCGGAGUGUGGUAUCGUCUUGACUUGCCUUAUCUGUCUCAUAGGUAGAUGUGGCAUCUUUUCUGGAAGUACUCUUCCUCCAUCCAGGGAUGGUAUCUUUAACUGGUGGAGAUGCACAAGGUAAUGUAUCAAUUUCACUUGAAGCUUACUUGUAGUUUCAGGCUUGGUCAAGCGCGAUACAAACCAUGUAGUAGGAGUCUCCCAAGUCGCCGAGCUAGGGGAUCAGCUAAAAGAGGUGACAGACAAGGUAAGCAAUCAGAGCUCCGGCUGAUUGUUCACAUUCUCCCUAUCUUGCAGGCAGCAUGAAGGAUAAAGAAAAGAAAAAUGAGAAGAGAUGAUAUGGGAUACUUUUACUUUUGAAGAAGUAACUUUCCACAAGCUUAUUCUAGAACUGGGCUGGAGGGUUUUCUGGUUUCCUCCAGAGUAUAAGGCCGACUGAAGAAUUUGAGGGUCAAAACAAGUCCAUCAAAUCUAGAGUACGUUCGACCCUGCUGAUAUGGGAUGUUUUUGCUUUUGACAGAGUAGUGGAUGUAUCGGCACGUGUGUUGUUACGCUUGUCUCCACAUGUUUCCUUGUAUCCUUCUCACUUGCCCUAUCUGUUCCUCAGGCAGAUGCGGUAUCUUCCCUAGAAGCAUAAGAUGUUGAAGAUGAGUACUCGAGAACAAUGCCAGAUAAGUAAUCAGGUAAGGGGUUCCAGGCAGUCAGUUCCUGGCUGGAAGCUUGAUUCCAAGUGUUGACUGAUUGCUCUCUUUCUCCUUGUCUUGCAGGUAAGAACAAGGCCAAAGGAAAAGACAGGGAAAAAGCAUGAUAUGGGAUACUCUUGCUUUUAACCCUGAUGAUAUGAGAUGUUCUUGCUCUAGUAUAGCUUGUUUGCAGAGGUAUUAUCGGGGGGAAAGAAAGCUGAAUAUUUCGAAAGGCUUCGUUGGGAGUGCCCUCUCAGAUAAGAGGAAGGGUUGAGCAUUUUUGCAGGUCUGCCUGUCCGUUGGGGAUGGGGGUCGACAUAUAUAGGAGUCUCCCUAACAUCAAGUAAUAAUGCUAUUCCUUUACCCUCCUUGGUCAUAGCACGGUAGUGGGAGCUGCCAGCUUCACAUGUUUUAACUCUGUCAGAGCACUUUGAAAAAGUGGUCUGUGGUAUCUGGAAAGCUGAUGUUGCGUGUGAAGAUUACAGACAAGCUUUAUCCACGGAGAUCCAGCUCUUGAAGUUGGGAAAGUGGUGCCUCUUCGGUUUUCGAACAAGCAAUCCUGUCGGGGAUCUGGCUCUCGAGAUUCGGAGAACGAUGCCUCUUCGAUUUUUGAGAAAGCAAUCCUGCUGGGGGUCUGGCUCUCGAGAUUCGGAAAGCGGUGUCUCUUCGAUUUUUGAGAAAGUAAUCAUGUUGGGAGUCUGGCUCUUGAGAUUCGGAGGGCGGUGCCUCUUCGAUUUUGGAGCAAGCAAUCUUGUUGGGAGUGUUUUCUCGAAUGUGAGUAAAGGUUGGGCAUGUUUGCUAGUCUACCUUGCCACGAAGCACAGAGGUUGACGCAGGACUUUCCAAUUAUCCAGCAGUGGUACUGUUCCUUUACCCUCUCUUCGAUUUUUGAGAAAGUAAUCAUGUUGGGGGUCUGGCUCUCGAGAUUCGGAGGGCGGUGCCUUUUCGACUUUGGAGCAAGCAAUCUUGUUGGGAGUGUUUUCUCGAAUGUGAGUAAAGGUUGGGCAUGUUUGCUAGUCUACCUUGCCACGAAGCACAGAGGUUGACACACCGGGACUUUCCAAUUAUCCAGCAGUGGUACUGUUCCUUUACCCUUGUGGGUAAUAAUAUGGUAGCUAGACCUUCAAAAUUUAUGUGUCUAAACUUUGUUAGUGUUGUUUCUUUGCUAUUCUUUUACCCUUCUUGGUCAGAGCGAUGUAGUGGGAGCUGCAAGCUUCACGUGUCUCAACUUUGUCAAAGAACUUUGGCAAAGUUAUCUGUGGUACCCAUGAGCUACUGUUGCGUGUGGGAAGUGGGUGAUUGAACAGAACGAUUCAUGUGCUUUCUACUUCACCAGAAAUCUUCGACAGAAUGCCCAUAAUUUCCGCAAAGCUGAGUGCAUAUGACAGGUGCUGACAAGGCUGGAAAAGUAGGUGCCUCUUCGAUUUCUGAGAUCGACCCUCGUGGUCUCUAAGCAGCCCAGCUUUUGAGAAAGCAAGCCUCUUCGAUUUCUGAGAUCGGCCUUCGUGGUCUUUGAGCAGCCCAGCUUUUGAGAAAGCAAACGCCUCUUCGAUUUCUGAGAUCGACCCUCGUGGUCUCUGAGCAGCCCAGCUUUUGAGAAAGCAAACGCCUCUUCGAUUUCUGAGCAGGCGCCUCUUCGAUUUCUGAAGCUUCGUCGAGUGCAGAUUUUUAUAGGGGAUGGCAUUAAGUUCCAAAGCACACUUGAAUCUCCACCAGUAGAAGCUCCAUUCUUGCACUUCUAAGAUCUUGAUUUUUUCCGACCUUUUCUCUCUUCAACACCUUUGAAAAUGUCUGGCCCCUCCGACCGUCGUUUUGACUUGAACCUUGUUGAAGAGGCAGCCCCGCCUUCUCCAGACAACAUAUGGCGCCCAUCCUUCAUCUCCCCUACUGGUCCUCUUACCGUUGGGGAUUCCGUGAUGAAGAAUGAUAUGAUCGCUGCGGUAGUGGCCAGGAACCUUCUCACUCCCAAAGAUAACAGACUACUUUCCAAACGGUCUGAUGAGUUGGCUGUUAAGGAUUCUCUGGCUCUCAGUGUUCAGUGUGCAGGUUAUGUGUCUAAUAUGGCCCAACGCCUAUUUGCUCGAACCCGCCAAGUUGAAUCAUUGGCGGCUGAAGUGAUGAGUCUCAAACAGGAGAUUAGAUGGCUCAAGCAUGAAAUAAACAGUUGCACCGGCUCGCACAUGACUAUGCUACAAACAUGAAGAGGAAGCUUGACCAGAUGAAGGAAUCUGAUGGUCAGGUUUUACUUGAUCAUCAGAGAUUUGUGGGUUUGUUCCAAAGGUAUUUAUUGUCUUCGUCUUCUGGGGCUGUACCGCGUAAUGAAGCUCCAAAUGAUCAACCUCUGAUGCCUCCUCCUUCUAGGGUUCUGUCCAGUACUGAGGCUCCGAAUGAUCCCCCUCCGGUGCCUUCUCUUUCUGGGGCUCUACCAACUGCUGAGACUUCUCCUAAGCAACCUUUGUGAAGGCUCCCUCUUGUUUGUUUAUUUUGACUCAUGCAUAUGUACCUAUUUGUACCUUAUCGGGGAUAUCAAUAAAUAAGCUUUCCUUCAUUUCAACGUAUUGUGUUAAAUACACCAAAACCUUCUUCGCUAAGUUCUUUGAAUUUUCUUUUGUUGAAGCUUGUAUGUUGAAGCUUUGUGAGUGGAGCCUGUAGGUUGAGGUAGUGUUCCCUUAAUUUCCUGAGUGAGGAAAACUUCUCGGUUGGAGACUUGGAAAAUCCAAGUCACUGAGUGGGAUCAGCUUCUAUGGCCCCCUUGCUCAUUUAACACUGCAUCCGGGUGCCGAUGGAGAUACAGCGACCCUUGCUCACUUAUCACUGUGCUCGGGCCACACAGCGCGCCACUUACGGGUGACGCCCUAGCUUUAGCGCGAUCUUGUUCUGGAUUCAUUUUCAUAAGGAUUCGACGUAGUCAUGGAGUGCCGGUUGUCGACUACCUGACGCCCUCCCCCUCCUCCUUUAUCCGGGCUUGGGACCGGCAAUGUAAGAUCAAUUUAACUAUAAUUAACUAAUAUGAUUUAAGAUUAAUAAAAAAAACUUGGAAAUCUGCUUGAAUUCAAUCUCAAAAUUGAAAACGAACACUUCACUUUUACAAAAGUUGUACAAAGCAAAAUAAAAAAGACAAAUCAAAGUCUCACAAAGGGCCACAACGACAGCAAAAUUGCAACAGAAAGAGGAAAAAUGUUCAAUCAAACCAUUGGAUAACUCUUCUCAGGCAGUCAAAAAAAACCCACAAAUUCAAAACCACAAAAAUCCAAUCUAAAACAUCGAUUCACAGACUGAGAUGCACAAAAUGAUAUAUUAACAAAUCCAAAACGAAAUACAAAAAUUAAGAACCAACAAGCAAAAAAAUACCGAUUAUCCCCUGCAUAAGUGAGCACACGUUCAAAAAGCCUCUCAAAGGCUGAGAUUCAACUUUAAAAUAUAAAGACUUUAAGCCACAAUUGUUCUUUCUUAACUUUAACUACUUCAGUUACAUAAUCGGAAAAAAAAAUUAAUUUAAUUAUAGUUAACUAAUCUGGGUUAAGAUUAAUAAAAAAGCUUGGAAAUUUCAGAUCUAAAAUCACACGUCAGGCUGCAAGUAGAAUCAAAACCAUGGAAUUUCAAAAUCACUGACCUUAAACACACAGGUCUUCGCAGGCUUCAAUGAAAAGUCACAAACUCGAAAAACCCAAUCUCCUGAAAUCGAAAACAAAACCAAAUUAACCAUCAUCACCUAGAAUCCGAAGCUACAAAACAAAAUUCUCAAAAUCAAAACCAAAAAAUUUGAACAAAAAAUCCAUUUAAAAUACAAAUUUACACUCCCAAGCACAUAACAUUCAAAGCAGACAAUUACCCAAAUCAAAUCGACAGCAGGAGAUGCAAUCUUUUAUGGGCUUCAAAUUUUCUUCAAACCGAGACCAAAUUCGUUAUUUUUCAGCAAGAGAGCGUUGCCGUUUGUAACCCCCGAUGAAAAGAUCCAAACAAAUUUGACUAACAGUAGAGAGAGAAAGAGAGAUAGAGAGAGAGGUGAAAAUUACUCGCUGGUGACGAAGCUAAUGAAUUCGGAGACGCAUUCCUGGACGGUGUUCGAUUGAUCGGCACGAGUAGAGACAUGAGAUCAGAAAGACAGAAAAAUUAGGGUUUGGGAGAUAAAGAAACUGGGGCAGAGAGAGAUGGAAAGAAAGAAGCAGAAAAGAGGAUGGCAACUGAAACCUUCCAGCGACUUUGUUCUUUAAAAAUAGCUUUAUGACAAAAUUACCCUUGGAUAAUUUUAUGCAUUCUUUUUAGCCGCUUUGAAUUUUUUUUGGCCGACAGGCAUUUGCGUCCAAUUAUUUUUGUCGAAGCCGGUGACACCAAAACCGGCCUCCGGCUUUCGAAGAAGGAUGGUCUGCUUUCCAUUUCCGUGCCUUCUUCGUGUCUCCUGUUUGAGUGGUCACGGUUAAACCACGUUAACAUUUUAUAUUACUAUUCAUUUUUGUCUUAUUAUAUUUAUAAAAAUAAUAAUAUAAAAUGUAGACGUGGCUUAACCGUGAUCACAAAAAACAAGAGGGCACGAGAAGGACAACGGAAGUGGAGGGCAGACAAUCCUUAUCCCGGCUUUCUAUAUAAAGAUAAUUAACUUUAAUAAUUGUAAUAGGAAGUAAUGAUUAUGCCCAACCUUUGGAUCAACAUUUGUAAGCUAUAUCAAAAAAAAAAAUACUAAAAAAGUUUAAACACAAAACCCCCCAAAAUUAUAAAAUCAAAAUAUAAUGUACUACCCAUUUUCUCCCGUUUUUCUCUCGCCCUCCAUUUCUGCAAAUCACCAACCUCCCUCUCUGCCCGUAUACUCCCUACCUCUCUCAUAAUAUCAAAACUCUCAAACCCAAUUCACUGCCUCAUUACCUAGUUGAUAAAAGUCCCUAUGACAGUAUCAAAGCAACUAUAAUUACAAAGAAGUUGAGAGAUUACUUUCUGAUUAUCAAAACCAUUACUGGCUUUAUGCUGACACAAAUGGUGCGUUUGUUGCACCGGACUAUCUCGGACUGGACUAGCUUCAGGGACUAAAAUGGACUGGCUUAGACUAGACUAAGCUGGACUGACUUAGUGAAGCGUUUUUAUGCAGUGCCGGAUUAAGAAGCAGAACUCUAAUAUUAUAUUAUUAAAUCUAUAUAUACAAUAUUUUAUCAUUGAUUUAAUCUAAUCUACUAAUUUUUUUAUUAUUAUUUUAUCAUUUGGCUAGAAUCAUCUUCUUCAUUUUUAUCUCCGCCCAUAACUCCCAACCCUCUCCCUUUUUUCUGCCUUUUCUCCCUCUUUUUCUCAGUACUACCGUCUUCCCCCAAAAAACCCCAACCCCUCCCUCUCAAGCUUAGCAUCACCAAUUUAAUGGCAGCAAUGGUGAGCUUUCCUGUUCAGCUUCCUUUCUCUCUCUUCCCUUUGUUUUUUCGUUCAAAUCCCUCUCUCUCUUCCCUUUGCCUCUUUUAUCGUCAACUUCACUUGUUCUUCCAUGGGUGAGGAUUGAAGUUGCAGACGGCACGGGUGGGUGGGGCUGGGUAUGGGCAUGGGUAGGGAUUGGAGUUGCAGACGGCAAAGGGUGCAACUUGGUCGGGUCGCUAAGAAUAUCGUUGUAGUUCUCUCGGAUUUGAAACGAGGGAAUGGUCUUGGUGUGGUGUUGUGAUCUCGUUGGAGAGAAGACGCAAUGUAGACGAAAAAAGGUCUUCGCAGAGGGAGGACGCCAAGCGGUGCAAAUGAGACGAAGCAAGUCUCAGCAGUCCCGUGGUUUUCGGGGAGCUUCGCUAAGACGACCUAGCGAGGGAGAUAGUCCACACGAGUCUGGACUAGUCUCAUUUAAGUUAGUCCCCAAGCUUACCAAACAUGGGACAAUAAUCCUAGCCAGUCCAGUCCCACUUAAGAAGUGAAACAAACGCACCCAAAAUCUCACAAUAUUAUUACCACGACCUUAUGCAUAAUAGGAACAACACUAUAAUCAUCUGCCUACCAGAAAUUAACUCUUCUACAACAGCAAGUUUAACAACCAACCAACCUUUGAACAAAGAACACACGGACAGGAAGAAGCAGGAUACAUAAGAGGCAAAACAAUUUUCUUACUUCUACAUCAAAGCAAAAGAACAACCAUUACAUAGGUAUGCCAUUAUCAUCUGGGGAACAAAUCCAAUUGGCAGCUUUUACGUACCUACAAUUAUAAGCAAAGUUUGGAAUUCACAAAAAAUAUUGGGCAAAUACCAAGGCUGCCAUUUGAAAAAGCUAAACAAUAACAAACUUUGACAAAUUAACUACAACUAAAUUCAGAUGACAUUCAAUGUAUGAAGACAAUCUGAGAAAUCAAAGGCUCUAAAAUCAAUACCAUAUUUCAUGUGCCUUUUAUUGAUAGUGAACCCAUCAGUAUAACCAGGAUAAAAAUUUGAUUUAGAAUCUUGCUAUCUUUGUCCUUGUAAAUAUGAUAUUUUGGCAUCGGCAAUAUAUCAUAAAAAAAAAACAAAUAUAUCUGAAUUCAAAGAAAAUAUAGAACAAAAAUAAAAAAGCAAAUUAUGAACGCGUAGAAGCUAAUUUCAUUAGCAAUUAAAGCAACCAAGUUCUCUCAACAUCAAGAUUCAGAACCCCCAGGAACCCAGAAAUUUGAUGAAAAUUUUUCUAAUCACUCAAUUGGAUUAGACAAAAUCAUGAAUUUUUUUCUAAAGCCCAAUUAUAUUAAAUCACAAAUUAGAAGCAGAUUUUGACAUGCAAUAAGUCAACAAGAUAGGAAUUGCUUCAGACUAACCUCGAUGGCAAGGCCUCCGGAAUCGCCCGAUCUAAACCAACCAAAAAAAAAUCUAUUCACAUGAUCUUCAACCUAACUAUAAAGAGGAGCUUUAUAACAUAACAUGCCAAAACAACCAAGCCCAACAAAUUAACGAACUAAUUUUUCUUAAUCAAUAAUAGCAUACAUAUUAUCAAAUUAUCAAUCAAUAAUUCACAUAUCGUUAAGGGUUAAACAAAUAUAUGAAGACUGGAAAUUUACUCACACAUCUAAUAUAUCCUUGCAUUUCUAUUUGAAUUCAGAGUACGUGGAAAUCAAAUCAACAAAUCAAAGCCCUAAAUUUUUAUCAUCCUGAAUUGGAAAAAUCUGUAAAAUCUAAAAUUUUUGACUAAAAAUGCUAACUUAGGAAUAUGAGGAAAUUUGCAAAUUAGCUAAACAAGACUAUUAUUUAUCCAAUCAAAUGCAAAUUGGAAUGGUGCAGAACUAACACUACAAAAUUCGUUAAACUAAACAAUGGGUAGAAUGUUUAUAAGAUUUAUAUUUUACACAAAAACUAAUCUUCUGAAAAAGCAAAAAACAUAAAAAUUUUGUUAAGCAAUCGCAUGGAUUAUAAAUGCCAAAGAUUAGAUGAUGGUAGGCGUCAAAUUACCUUUUUCACCGAAGAUGCGAAACCCCUCAUUGCCGACGUGGCGGGGCGAAUCCUCUGUCCUAAAAUCUGAACCAACACAAAGAUUAGGCAGAAAAUCUGAAAGUUCAUAAAUUGCAGAAGUAGAGGGAUUACCAUAGCUGAUGAGCUUCCAGCUCCUACUUUUUGCCUUAAAAUUCCCAACAUCUUUGAUUCUUUCACACAAAAUCACACUGAACGCAAACAAAAAUUAGAAACAAAAUAUGAUCUAAGAACUGAAAAUUUAAGUGAAAGCACUGAGAGAGAUGAGGAGGAAUAACAAAUGAUUUAUUGGAAAUAUGGAAAAAAAAAUCAGAUUAAAAUUUGGACAGAAAUAAACAAUACGAAUUAGGGAUUUGGGAGGGGGGACAAACCGGUUUGGAGGAUUGGAGCGGGGAUCGGAUCGAUGAUGCGAUGUGUAAAAAAUGAGCGUUAAGGAAGCAGAGCAGCAGCAUCCAACACUUUCACGCAGAACUUGUUGAAUCCACAUCCGCCGUACUAAAAGAAAAGAUAAGUAAUAGUUUAAAUAUCCUAACCUCACUCUAACUAACACCGAUGCCUUUUGUGAUAAAAUUUUACACUUGACGGAUUAUGCAAGUGGUAAUUACCAAGUUGGCGAUAGUAUCGAUGUUGUUGGAAGUGGGCCAUAUGGCCCGUCUCUUUGAUAACUCUACAUUGUAUCAGAGCCAAGGAACGAACCCGUAAUGUACUAUCACGUGAUGGGUGGAUCCUCUGGCCCCGUGCGAUAUGGUGGGUCCCUUGGCCCCGCUUAUAGGGUGAGUCCCCUUGGCUCCACGUGGUUGCCAAUGUGUGGGUCUUCCACGUGUGGCCCACUAAUUGAGUCUCACGUGAUGGGGCGUGUUGAAUCUCACAUCGGCCGUAGUAAAAGAUAAGUAUUAGUUUAAAUAUACUAACCCCACUCUAACCAACACUGAGACAUUUUGUGAUAAAACCCUACACCUGACGGAUUGUGCAGGUGGUAAUUACCAAGUUGGGGGACAAUAUCAAUGUUGUUGGAAGUGGGCUGUAUUGCCCGUCUCUCUGAUAAUUCUACAGAACUUACUUGGAAAACCCAGAUCAAACCAACCUAGAUCAAACCAACCUUUAAGUUUCAAGGUUUUUACCCUGGAAUCCAGGCAAAACCCAGAUCAGAUUCUAAAUGGGUUUAUCAAAAAUAAUAAUUUGAUUUUGAUCAGAAAUGCUUAUUCUUGUAGUGGGUGUACAUCUAGUAAUGCUUAUUCUUGUAAAUUGUCGUUGCAAUAAUACAAUAAUACUCAAAAUGAUGUAGUGGGUGUACGGAUUAAAGAGGGUUUUAGGUGAAUGUGAUCAGCUUACCCAUGUGUCUAAUGGAUUAAACUAACAAAAUAGUAUGUGAUGUGAUAUGUUUUAGGUCAACAUAACAAGAAAAUAUUAAACAAUGAGUUGUACAGGAAGAUACAGAUGCUCUUAUGUUCUUUGUGAGUUUUUCCACAGUGAGAUAAUGGGUAUAUAUUACAGAGCCGACUUCUCUGCCCUCCCAUUUCCCAUACACUCUUAUCCCCUUCUAUUUUAUGCUGUCACGGUUAAACCACGUCAACAUUUUAUAUUGAUUUUUUUAUAGAUAUAAUAAAACAAAAAGCAAUAAUAAUAUAAAAUAUUGACGUGGCUUAACCGUGACCGCACAAAUAAGAAGGAAUGAGAGUUUAUGGGAAGUGGGAAGGCAGAGAAGCCAGGUCCACCGUCCAUAUAUUACACUCUGUAUUUGUACCCUUGCCAUGAAUGAUUAAGGUUUCACCCUAACAUUUAAAUAAUGAAUGUAGUGGUCAAGAAUUAUUAAAGAUACAGUAAUUACCCUUCUAAGGUGAAAUCAAGCUCAAAUCUGAUGGGUUUCUUGUAAAUAAGGUGAAAUCGAGGGGCAAAACUUUAACUGUAGCUGAAUGAAUAGUAGAUCAUUCCUCAAUUUUAGAAUAGAUAACUAGAAAGUGUAGCCCGCGCAUUGCUGCAGGAAAUGUGAUUCACGCGUUACUGCGGGAAUGGAAAUUGUAUGACAUAUUUUGAUGAACUAAGUUAGAAAACGACUACAUGUGCAAACAUUGCAAGCAACUAAAUUAGACGAAAGCUAACAAAUUUCGAAUUAACCAAAUUAGAAAAACAAUCACAAUCGAACUAAUCUCUACUUCCCAUAUGAAGUAGAAGAUGUCCCUUGUUUUGCAUCGGUGAACAACGCGGUUUUCACCCUCUACGAACAAAAAGAUGAAAGUAAAAAUGUUUAACAACAUUAUAAAAAUUAUACAUAUAGGAUUAUAUAUGUAUCUGCACAUAAAGUAUAAAGAUUUGCUAACAGAUUCGAGGUUAAAUUUAACAAAAUAAGUAAUUAUGAAUUGAAAUCAAACUAUAUCAUAGUUGUUAAAAAAUACUUUUGGCUAAUUCUUACAAAUAGAAUGAAAGUGUCGCUUUCUUAUCAACUAUUCAAUUGUCUCAGCUGCGGAAAAAAUUGAUUUCAAUGUGUCCUUUACCAAGUGAAUGAUGGAUAAAAUUGUUAAUUUCAAAAUAAACCAAUUUUCAAAAAUCCUAACAUGAUAUGACAUUGUAAAAAACCUUAAACCCUUUAUUGGAACAAACCUCAAAAUGCCCACUAAUUGUUCUGGAUGGGACACACCAAUUUUUACCAUGAGAAAAAUGCAACUCCAAACCAAAAUUAAGCAUUUGAUAAAUCGUAUUUACUGAAGAGAAAUUUUUUUUGAAAGGGAAGCUUACCAGUGUUAGCAAAGUUAAAUUCAAUGUAAGAAAGUGGAAGAAUAUUGACAUAAACAUAGUAGUGGGAUUGAUGAUGGAUUCAGUAUGUUAUUUUGUAUCAAUUCAAAUGGAUGAAAAAUAUUAAAGGAACUAUAGGUCACAGUUUGGAGUAUGCAAAAGUACUACUUCAAAUUUUCAACAUGCUCAGUAGAUCUCUAAAUUUCAAAAAGUGUACAAAUUUUAGAGUACUCCAACUAACGGUAAUUUUUUGGAGUGCUACCAUACCCUCUCCACUGUUUUAUUUCUUCACUCAAAUUAUAAUUUCACUCAUCAUAAAAAGUUAAAAAAUUAAAAUGUUAGUUUCCAACCCACUAUUUUUCUAAAACAACCUCUAAUUAACAAUUGGUGUAAAUGUGUAUGACCGCAUUAUACAGAGCCACCAACAGCGGCUGUGACUUCAUCUACAGUCGCUCUUCAUUGUACCAGUGAAUCCACCUUCACAAAUUCAAGUCCCCUUUUUGGCACAAGCUGAUGAUGGCGCCAUUAGCGCCACCUUAUCCAAUUCCACACCACGCCUUCUCAUCUAACCAAACAAAGACAAAGCUUGCUUAUACCUCCCAUUCUGAGCACACCCCACAAUCAUGGUGGUCCACGAAACAACAUUCCACUUCGAUAUCUCGUUAAAAAUCCUUUGCGCCCCAUCAACAUCCCGACACCAUACAUAGCCCGCAAGCAGCGAAUUCCAACUUGCAACACUCCUCUCACGCAUACCAUCAAACACCAGGCGUGCAUACUCGACACCACCCCCAAACCCACUUACCAGAACCCUCUUGUACACCUGUUCCCCUUCUAUCACCAACCCUGACCUCGCACAAGAACCAAAAGAACAUACGAAUAGGAAAACCCAUUAGCCUCUGCCUCCAAACCCACCAGCCGUUUAUACAAUUCAACAGACUUCCGCAGAAUUUGCUCCAAGCGUGGCUUCUGAUCAUCUGGCUCCAAACAGUAGUAACUGUGUUGUCAACAUUUUUGAAAAUUUUUAGGGCAUGAUCGAGACACUCAAAAGAAACGUAAAAUGUUAAAAUUCGAACAAGAAGGUAGCUUUUUGUGUGAGUCCAUGAAUUAUUAUUUUGGGUGUGAAUUUGGGUGUACUUGCACAUCAAUGGAAGCAAGUAAUUUUUUAUUUUGGUCCUUAUAUGUCAUUUUACAAAAGAGUAAAAUUGACAUUAAAAAAUUAUUAAAAUAGCGGGUGAGAAGAUAAGACUGUAGAGUAGAAUUAUUAGCACUCAUUUUUUAUAAAAUCGCAUUCUAGGAAAGUAGGAAUGGAACUUCCAUUCUUAUUAUAUAUACAAAGUAUGCAGAUGCUCCCUUGCAAUUGGCUAAUGGUGAUAUUUCAAUCAUCCGAGAAAAACUCCGUGCUGAUAUGUAUGAACAUGCAUCAUCUGAUUCUAGUGCAAAGUGGGCAGAAUCGAGUGCCCAUUAUAAGGUAGUGUUCUACCUAAUGUAUUAAAUUUUUUAUUGUCAUAUGGCCAAGGACACUUAUUGAGUUAAUUAAGCUCCAUAGAGGAAUAGAGAAAUUGAAGGGCAAGAUAGAGAGGUCAUUUGGGGGAAGAGGAAGCCGGGAAGGUGAGGCUGCCGGCUGCAGGAUGAUAUGGUUGUAGCAACGAUCAUUCAGUGUUGUUUGAUGACUCGUUUGGAAGUGCUUUGAAAAUGAUUAGAAAUGCUUUUGGAGAAUUUUUUUUUUAGUUUAAAAAACACUUGAAGUGUUUCUUGCAAGAAGUACCAAUUAUGUACUUGUCCAAGAAAUACUAAGUACUUUUACAGGAUUCACUUGCAUUUUUAUUAAUGAGUGAUUCAAAAAACAUAUUCACCAUAAGCACUUUCAGCUAUUUUAAAAACAUUUAUAAACGGACUUGAGUUUCUUUCCGUUUGGAAAUUUUCAUCUUUUAAAUAUUAAAAAAGUAGUUUUUUUUUUUUAAAUUGCAUAAAGAAAACAUAUAAAAUAUCAUUUAAGUUGUAAUUAUCGUUCAGCUUACUAUACAUGUUUGAACCUUUUAUAUGAUUUGAUUGUAAUAAAAUCACGUUUACGGAUGUUGUCCCUUAUGUUCAUUUGUCAAAAGGCAAGUCCUUUUGGCUUGGUAAAGGCCAUGUAGUCGUUCGUCCGAAAAAACAAAGGCCAGGCUGUCCGGUCAAAUUGUGGCAUCAACUCCCUUCUCUCUCUAACCCUCACACGCUCACUACUCACAAUCCUUUGGGUAUUAACUACAUUGAGAAUAAUCAAAGGACAAUGAAUAAUUGAGAAAGAUGAAGAGCUAGAGAGAAAUUUUAAAGAGAAAUAUGGCUUCUGUAUUUCUAAGAAAAUAACUAACUAAUUACAUUUGUCAAUUGCAGUUCUUUAUAUGAUAAAACAAUACAAACUUACUUGUAACUGAUUAACCAGCUAACAAAUCAUUUAAUAGCCUAACAAAUAUUCUAACAACUUUGAUUGACGUGGCAAUGAUUAUAUAACAACCUAUAAUCAAGAUAAACACACAUUUUUUGUCUCUCACAUACUCUCAUUUAGUUAUGUCAAUUGUUUUUUAGGAUAAUUCUUUGUGUCUAGUUUUGGGUAAAUAGAUUAACAAAAAUCAUAGUACUGUCUAUAAUUUGAUGGAGAUGUUGAAUUAUUGUAUUUUCAGUCUCUUCAAACAAAAAUGCUACACUCACUACAUAUUUGUACUAUCAUUUGUACAAUCUAUCAAAUAAAAGUUGAGUCCGCCAACACAUGUAAAUCUCAUAUCAAUUAGAGAGAUGGUACAAAUAUAUUGCAAAUGUAGUAUUUUUGCUAAAUUAAACUAGCAAGUAUAACGUCUCAGUGUUGAGGGAUUCUUAAACAUAUGUAGGUUGAGAAAUGAUUUCCACACAAUCUUUUUUUUUUUUGGUAGUAAACUCCUAUUAUGUUUUGUCUUGAUUCUCCUCUGAUUUAUUCACCUAAAAGUUAGAAAUAGCUUUCGAGGGUGUGUCAAGAAUAUAAGUGUGUAAAAUUUAUUUCCAAGUAUGUAGGCUUAUUUGUGUGUGAGGUGAAUUUUAGUGUUAGUGUUCUAAUAGGCCUGUACUGUUUUGUAGUUCUGAAUUUAUUUGUAUGUCUUAAUCUUGCUUAUGCAUCAUACCAACCACCUUGACGAAGGUGUAACUCAAAACGGCAACUGUUGGAGUCAUAAGCAUUUGAGGUAUAUUGGUUACUCUCUGUCUCUCUAAUUUAACAGAGGCUUUAGUUAGGGGUUCAUUUUCUUAGAAAAUUCACUACCAAAAAACUGGCAUUUGGGUACAAAACUAAGGACACUAAUGAAGAGUUUGUGUCUCUAUGAACACCAAUACAAUGGACCAGUGCCCAUUCAAUAAAGAGCACAAUGUAUUGUGCCCAAUGUAAAAGAAAAUUGACACAAACACAUUAGGCUGACAACUUUUUGAUAAAAAAUACUCAGAAAGGGAUAUUUGUGUCUAUAAAUAGACUUAAGCGCACAAUUGUACGUGUCCUACUUUUAUAAUCGUAUAAGUAUAUGUGUCUUACUAAACAAAUCUGGGACAACUAAAACAGAAGAGCGGGUCAUACUUUUUCUCUCCGUUGUGAGAGCCUUCACUCCGCAGUGAGAGUCUUCCCUCCUGUGUGAGAGCCUACAACAUGAUAACUCCGCCCUCAACUGUACCAUACCAGAUCUAAUAGUGCAUCCCCCUCCAGUUUUCAACCAUUUCCUCCCUUUCCCCAAAUUUUCAAUUGUUCCCAAAAUCGAGUUCAACUAGUCUGGGCGGUUGGGUUUAUUAAGUGCCUGCGCUUCUUACACCUUUCCUCCCUUGUUCAAUUAUUGAUUGUGUCCUCUUCGACCAUCAGCAUUGAUUUCUCCAUCUUUUCCCUCUGCUCAUGCGGUGAGUAGUUGGGUCCAACGGCUGACGAAUUGAAGGCUUUCAAUUCAACUUCAAAUGGGCCAUAAAGGUCAAUUAGGUAUUGCAGAUUGGUUGGUCCCCUUAGUUCCCUUCGUUCCCCUGGGUUCCUUUGUCCCUCCCCUGACGCAUUUAACAGACUACAGAUCUCCGGAUUAUCCUUGCAAAUAUUCAGAUGUCAGGUACAAUUACUCGGAAACUCAACCACCGAUUAAUAACUCAAUUGCUCCUUGGGUAAGAGUUGUGCUCUGGAUCUGGGUAAGUAUUGGUUAUAGGCAUUUUAAACACCUUAAGAAAGCUGGGGGUUUGCCGAGUUACAGUUUCAAACACUGUGAAGAAUAUCACCUACAGGAUAACUUUGUUGAACUGGAGUCGGCCCAAUCUGAAGUAGAGGAUCUAGUGGUGCAGCUGGAGGAAUCGCUUGAACUCUCACAUAUGGAACAAAGUGUGAAGCUGGUAGGGGCAGCUCUGACAAAAAAAAAAAAAAAAACCCUAAAUAAAUGGGGUGUUCGAAAUAUUCUGAGGAGUGUUUGGGGUGAGUUUGGGGAAGUAAACAUAAACUGGGUCUAGGAAAACACGUUCAUCAUUAUAGUAAGAGAUGAGGAGACGGCGAAUCGAAUACUAGAGCAGGUCCCUUGGGCAGUUAUGAGUAAGAACUUAUCUGUCAAAAGAUGGCCUCAAGAACUGGCACUUGAAGAGGUAAUGUUGAGAAAGGUCCCAUUUUGGAUCCAAAUGAAGGGCGUGUUAUUACAUCUGAGCACAGAGGUAAAUGCCAAGAAAUUGGCAUGCCAUAUGGGAGAGGUUAUUAAGAUAGAAGAGCUGUCACUGGCUAGAGGGUUCUUAAGGGCCCGGGUGUUGGUGGAUACAGAUAACCCUCUUAUAAGCGGAUGCUGGCUUCCACGUCCUGGGGAUAAGGAAUCCUGGAUCGAGUUUAGAUAUGAGCGGCUCCAAGAUUUCUGCUAUAGGUGUGGGAGGAUCGGCCAUGUCAUGACGGAGUGUACCUUUGAAAAAAGCAGGAGUGGGGCUGCUGGGUUUGGUGAAUGGACUCGGAUGAAACAACCCAGGCCUCUAUAGGAGUAUGUCCAUCCACUACCAGUAAUGCAAUGCAACCGUCGCCAUGCCGGAAUGAUACGAGAGAAGCGGAACUUAAACUUUCAAGAUAUGGCAGUCUCAACAAGCACGAAGGGGAUUCUAGAUUAGGGAUCAUCUGAACCCCAAAGGCUGGGAAUUGUCUUCCAUGAUCUCGGGAACCAGGGGAGAAUUGGGGGGGGAUUAUUGCUAUGGUGGGACCUCCUGUUAGUGGAAUUCUUCCCCCAGUGCAAUGCGAGAAUGUAAUUCGGCCUGAAGCGGAACUAACAAUCCAAUCCUGGGUGUGAGUGAUGACCUUGGUCUGCUUCCGGUGGAGACCCACACCUUUGAAGAGGGGGAAAGGGAAAGGGGUAGAAGCUCCCACCAAACUUCAAUCCAAGGAUUCUUUAAUGGCUUGGGCCUAAAGAGGAAAACUGAUAGGAAGAUUCAGGGGGGAGGACAAGCUCGGAGUAAAAGAGUGAAAAAAAAAGCAGGCUGCUUAGGAGAAGGAAGAUGACAGCGAGUAGGGGGCGAAAUCCCAGUAUAAGUGGCGGUGGCAUAGAAGGUGGAAUUUCUGUUCUCGUGGAGGCAAAUCUGCUUGAUGUGCCGAUUGGUCAGGGGAAGAAAGUGAGAAGCCUGCGGGUUGGAAGCACAAACCAGGAUUCUAAUGCACCUCAGACUAAGAGGGCGGGGGUGGAACCUUGGGGUGGUGGCGGCUGGCCCAUAACAGUUACACCAUCGCCAUGAUCUACUUAAUGUGGAACUGCCAUGGUCUUGGGUCGGACGCGGUAGUUCGAGCUUUUCAUGGGCUUAUUAGGCGGUACAGACCCUGUGUGAUCUUUCUGUCCAAGACGAAGAUGAAGGAUCACAAAUUAGAAGGAGUUCGGCACAUAAUGGGUUAUACAUACAGAUUCUCGGUCCCAACUAUGGGGGCUGCGGGUGGUCUUAGUCUUUGGUGGAACGACCCUGUCCAAGUGACUAUCCUUUUCUCAUCAAAGAAUCUAAUUCACACAAGAGUCCGAGAUGGGGGUUGUGAUGAUUGGUGUUUUGCAUCAUGGGUUUAUGGUACUCUAUAUAGAGCAGAGAAUAGGGCAUUCUAGAGGUGGAUCUCGGAGGUUUUACAGCCUUGCCCAACCCCGUGGUUUUGUGGAGGAGACCUGAAUGAGUAUCUUUGGGAUAGUGAAAAAGCUCGGGGGAGGGAGGAGUCUCGCUCUCGCCCCCAGUUCCUGCAGGAUUUUAUGUCGGAAAUAGAGCUCGUGGAUUUACAUUUCAGUGGACCAGCAUUCACCUGGAGAGGUUCCCGUAAUGGAAGCUUGGUGCAGGAAAGAUUGGACCGUGGGAUGGUGAAUGGCAGUUGGCAAGAUUGUUGGCCUAAUACUUCAGUCACCCAUGGAACGGUUAUAGCCUCAGACCACUGUUUAGCUUUGAAAUUCUUUCCUCGCCAAGCUUUUCAACAAUUGAUCUGACAUUUAUAAGUGUUAAAUGGAGUAUUAGCGCAGUCGUAUACCAUCCAAUGGAGCAUGAUCAACCAAAGCUGGUAUGUGGUGGUAUGGAUUAAUAGAGUACUUAACUGCAGUUUUUUGCUCAAUAUUAUAUGCACACAAAUAUGUAUGUGUAUCUGUGCCUGUCUGUGUACUUAUGUACAGUUUUUUGCAUAAUUUUAUAAUAUUUAACUUGCAAACAAAGAGCUAAUGACAAGUUGCUUAAGAAUGAUUAAUAGAUCAAUCAGUCACAUUAAAGCUUAUACAGUAAUUUUUUGUUGUAACUGAACUUACUUAUCAUAAUUCUAUGUACUAUUUGCCACAAUGGAAAUCGCAUAUGCUGUCAAGUGACACUAGAAUCUGUGCUAGUGCAGAAAUUUGGAAUGAAAUUGCAGCUGUGUCAGGGGCUGAGUCCUUUAUGACCACAUCGAAAGAAACUACUGCCAGAAUGAGAACCUCAAGCGGUCCAAUUAUAGUCAAAGCUACAGUGCUUUCUGUUGUGUCCAAAACCUAGGGCAUGUUCGUAACUGUCUGGAAACUUAAACAUAAAAAAGGCAUAAAAAAAAAUAUAAAAUGUUUGUGGAAGCCAGACUUGUAGUCAGGAGGAGGCUGAAAUGCCUCUAUGAAUCUUCUUGGCUACCAAAAAGAGUGGAUAACCAUGAGUUGCAACCAGUUGUCCCUCUUUAAAAAAAAAGAAAAUUGAAAAAUGAUUAUAUAGGGUAUUCAGUAUUCUAGUGAGUACAAAGUAUUAUCCUAGAAUUUUUGCCAACUGAGAAAAUGGCGGACUUUCAUGGGGUAAAUUACCAAGUUUGACCUCUUUCUUGGUGAGUAUUUGCUGCUUUGCCAUUUGUUGCAGGGUCUAUGGAAGUAGUAUGCUAGAGAUUUUCCCGUGUAUCGGAAACACAUUUCGAUACAUCAAGUGUAAUAAUACAAUUGAUUGGAAAUUUAAAAAAAAAAUCAACUAAUUAUAUUAUGACACUUGGUGUACUGAGAUGUAUUUUCAGCAUACUGAAAAAUUUCUCAAUAAUAUGCAUACUUUGUCUCUUUGCCUGCACUCCACACCAUUGUACACCUCAUGGGUCCAUGUGUCAAUGGAUGCAUGGUGUAAAUAAUGUCUCACUCGUUGGUUAGCUCUUCUCCUGUAGAAGUUUACGAACAUCACCAUCUUCCAAUCUCAAACCUGAGAACGAUGAUGCUCACAAUUUGAUGAAAUAUAGAUUAUGAGUUUGGAUAUUGGCUUUGCGAUUUUUUCCAUUAAUCUAGUAAUUCGUUCAGUCUACAAUUCGGUUGGACUUGCCAAAGAUUCUUUGCAUACUUUUUUAAUUUAAUUGGAUCCCUCGGUAAAAAGAGGGAUUCGAACUUAAAAAGUUUUGUGAGUUUUUGAACAUUGAAGAUAAUAAAGUCCAUGGUUUUUGUAUUGGUUGUUUGUUUAUUCUUUUUGAUCGAAUGAAAACUAUUGGCUUUGAGAUCUAAGGUUGUAUGUCUAACAGUUAAAAACACUAGGAAAUGUGUUGGAUUUAGCUUUAAAAUUAAGAGAUUUUGGCUUUGAGAUCUAAGGUUGUAUGUCUAACAGUUAAAAACACUAGGAAAUGUGUCGGAUUUAGGUUUAAAAUUAAGAGAUUUUGGACCUUGAAGCUUUUCUUAGGGAAUAAAAUAAAUAUCGGAAUCCUUCUCUUCCUAUUUAAAUGCUAAUUAUUUUAUUGUGAUUUUGUAUGUUUUCUUCAACGCCAGUUAUUCUUAAAUUAAGAUAAUGUUUUUUUGUUAGGGAGUGAAGAUGAAUUUUAGAGACAGAAAAACAAAAUUAGUAACAUAUAAACCUAAAAUUGCAAAUUAAUCCAAAAAUAACAAAUAAUUAGAUAAAAAGUUAUAGCCAUAUACAUUUCUAUAUAAUUUUUGAAAAAAAAUGAAAAAUUAUGUAAUAUGAAUUUGUCUGUCAGAACAUUAUAAUUACUUUAGUCUAAAGUAGGGGAGGUGGCACUGUGCAAUUUUGGGGUACAUUUCAGUUUAUUUACGAAAUUGCCAUUGAAUCUCUCUGCCCCCUGAUUUAAGUUUAUUUGCAAAAUUGCCACUGGGCUUCAUAAAGGGUUUUGGGUCGUUGGGCUAGAAUUUCCGUUCAGAUUGGAAUUUUCGGUUUUGCGAUCCACACGUUGAUAAUCGCUGUGUAGGAUCGCCGACUGUGUGGGAUUUGGUGAGGGGAUGGUUACGUGUCCAUCAUCGUCGAAAGGUCUGCUUCGACUGCAACGUCUUGACUUUUCUUUCCGUUUCAACUUGUCUCUCACAAGCCUCUGCUUCAGUCGCUCUUGAUCGUCGCCUUUUCUAAGGCGUCCGAGGGACAAAAACCGAAAUCUAAACCUCCACCACAAAUGAAGUCACGAACGCCACUCUCACUCACCCUCCACUGUUGCACACGAACCCAAUCAUAAUUCUGAAAUCCAAACAUAACCCAGAUGUUAAUCCUUCAGAGAAUGGCAAUGGCCACUUCUUCUUCCUUCCUCUCAAUCCCUCUCCUAAAGACCUCUUCUUUGCUUUCCCCAAUUAAACACUGCGCUUCGCCACUGAGCUCCGAGUUCAGGGCUAUCCCUCUACGGCGGUAGAAAUGGAGUCUUCACCUCCUCGGCGAUGGCCACGAAAUCAAACACCAGAAGCACAAAGGCGGCCAGUUUCUCUUGCUUCUCAGAGUUAUAGAAAUGAAACACCUCAGCCAAAUCCAGUAACAAGCUCAUUCCCGGAGUCCUCAGUGUCAUCCAAUAUCUCGUCAUCAGAUACCGGCAUGGAAUACUCAAGCCCUCCUUUAAGACAAAGGCGAACGGCAAACGUUGAGGAAGUUGAAUCUUCAUGAUGUAUGAUAUAUGUUUUAGUUACUGCUCAUUUGUUUGUACCAUGUGCAUCAGAUUAAGGUCACUACUCAUUUGUGCCAUGGUUUUCAUUCUUUUUUAUUUUGUUUCUUGUUGUAGUUACUCAUUCUCGGUAAUCAACUGAUAGUAAGGGCUGGUUUGGUAUUGCUGUGCUUUAAAAAAAAACUGGUUUUGCUGUGUUGUGAGAAUAAGCAGCUGUGAAAUAAAGUAGUGUUUGGUAAAUUUUUUUGUAAAAGUGCUUUUGAAAAAAAAAAUAUUAUAAUGUUUUGUAAACUUUUAUGUAAAACAGAUGUGAAAAAAAGUCAGUUUUUCAAAGAUGGGCUUUGUAGCUUCUUGUUUUUGGCUUUUUUUCACCCAAAACUAUGAAAAAAAAGCUGAAGUUGAAUAUUUACCAAACACAAAAAAGCUCCCAACUUUUUUUUUAUACCAAUUUUUUUUCAGAAUCACCUCAGUACCAAACCAGGGCUAAGUUCUCUCUUCUUUUUUUUUCUUGUUAUUUUAGUUGCUUAUAUAUCACUUCUGUUAACAUUUUCAGGUUUUCAACAAUCUUCAAUUACGAUAGCAACUUGAUUCCUAGGAUUUGGAAUAAGAAGGGAGACAUUAGUUGUCACAUUCCAGUCUCGGCUCCGCUGUAGCAUGAUAUUGUCCAUUUUGGGUUCCGGCCACUCUCUCACGAUUUUGUUUCUGGGAACUCAUACGAGAACUUCCCAGUGGAUCACCCAUCUUGGGAUUGCUCUCGUCCGAACUCGCUUAACUUUGGAGUUCCGAUGGAACUCAAAACCAGUGAGUUCCCAAAAGACCUCAUGCAAUAUGGAGGUAGUCAUGUACAUAUAAGACACAUUACCCCCUCUAUGUUGGUCAGUGUGUGAUGUUACAUUAAUACCAUUACGAAGGAUGCUCGAUCCGCUGUAAUUAUUUAGAAACUUAAUGGAUGGAGGUAUAACCUGUCUGUAUUUUGUUUGCGUUUAAACGAUAUCUUAGCAACUUUUUUCUUUUAUAUCUCUUUGAUGCAGUCUCUUAAGAUUUUGUUGGCUAUAGCUGCAAUUCGCUUGAGUGAGAAGCCAAAUAACAUUGAAAAGGUUCUCUUUUCUUUUCUAAUGGAUGGAACUAAAGCCUCUAUAGUCUAUAGAUCCUCUUACAUCAAAACACUUGGGAAGAGGUACUGUGUAUAAGGAUUUUUUUUUCUUUAUCUCCAUAUGGAUAGACUUUCUAUUGUCAAACUAAUUUCUUAUCAAUAAUUAAUUCUGACUAUAAGGAAUUUUCCAUUAAUCUAGUUAUUCGUUCAGUCUACAAUUCGGUUGGAGUUGCCAAAGAUUCUUUGCAUAAAAUUUUAAUUUAAUUGGAUCCCUCAGUAAAAAGAGGGCUUCGAACUUAAAAAGUUUUGUGAGUUUUUGAACACUGAAGAUAAUAAAGUCCAUGGUUUUUGUAUUGGUUGUUUGUUUAUUCUUUUUAAACGAAUGAAAAUUGUUGGAUUUGUGAUCUAAUGUUUAUGUAUAGUAGUUAAAAACACUAGGAAAUGUGUCAGAUUCAACUUUAAAAUUCAGAGAUUUUGGACCUUGAAGCUUUUCUUAGGGAAUAAAAUAAAUAUCGGAAUCCUUCUUUUCCUAUUUAAAUGCUAAUUGUUUUAUUGUGAUUUUUUAUGUUUUCUUCGACUCAUGUUAUUCUUAAAUUAAGAUAGUGUUUUUUUGUUAGGGAGUGAAGAUGAAUUUUAGAGACAAUAAAACAAAAUCAGUAACAUAUAAACCUAAAAUUGCAAAUUAAUCCAAAAAUAACAAAUAAUUAGAUAAAAAGUUAUAGCCAUAUACAUUUCUAUAUAAUUUUUGAAAAAAAAGGAAAAAUGAUGUAAUAUGAAUUUGUCUGUCGGAACAUUAUAAUUACUUUAGUCUAAAGUAGGUGGAAGUGGCACUGUGCAAUUUUGGGGUACAUUUUAGUUUAUUUACGAAAUUGCCACUGAGUCUCUGCCCCCUGAUUUAGCGUUAUUUACAAAAUUGCCACUGGGCUUCAGAAAGGGUUUUGGGUCUUUGGGCUGGAAUUUCCGUUCAGAUUGGAGUUUUCGGUUCUGCGAUCCACAUCAUCGCUGUGUAGGAUCGCCGGCUGUGUGGGAUUUGGGGAGGGGAUGGUUACGUGUCCAUCAUCGUCGAAAGGUCUGCUUCGACUGCAACGUCUCCACUUUUCUUUCCGUUUCAAUUUGUCUCUCACAAGCCUCUGCUUCAGUCGCUCUCGAUCGUCGCCUUUUCUAAGGCGUCCGAGGGACAAAAACCGAAAGCCAAACCUCCACCACAAAUGAAGUCACGAACGCCACUCGCACUCACCCUCCACCGUUGCACACGAACCCAAUCAUAAUUCUGAAAUCCAAACACAACCCAGAUGUUAAUCUUUCAGAGAAUGGCAAUGGCCAUUUCUUCUUCCUUCCUCUCAAUCCCUCUCCCAAAGACCUCUUCUUUGCUUUCCCCAGUUAAACACUGCGCUUCGCCACUGAGCUCCGAGUUCAGGGCUCUGUCCCUCUACGACGGUAGAAAUGGAGUCUCCACCUCCUCGGCGAUGGCCACGGAGGCUCAGAUCUCGACCCAAGACGACAAAUUGAAGGAUGAAGAAAAUAAGAACAUAUGGAAAAAUGGGUGUACAGCAGUAGAUAAGGUGCGAAAAUUUUCAUCCUGUUUUUGGGAAUGUGAGAAGAUACAUGGGUUUCUAUUUUGAUAAAGUGUUGAGGUCGAGCUAUGUUCAUUUUUUUCUGAAUUUCCUUGUAGUUUUGGUAUUAAUGGCGCCUUUUCCGCUGUUAUGGUGAUGAACUAUUUAUAUGUGUUUGACUGCAGUGUGCACACGUGAUGGCCAUGGCUGUUCAAAAGCUCUUCCCUGAUGCAAAAGUGACAAUUGGUCCAUGGAUAGAAAAUGGGUUUUAUUAUGAUUUUGAUAUGGAGCCUUUGACGGACAAAGAGUUGAAGAGAAUCAAGAAGGAGAUGGUAAGUGGAAUUUUAGUAUAAGUUAUCAUGUUUGUAUCAAAGUUUUGGAACCAUGAAACUGUUGAAAACUAUUCAUGAGCAUUUCUUUUGUGAUUUGUAGGAUCGCAUCGUUGGAAGAAACUUACCGCUCAUACGAGAAGAAGUUUCAAGAGAUGAAGCUCACAAAAGAAAAACCGCUCUCAACGAACCAUACAAAUUGGAAAUUUUGGAUGGUAUUAAAGAAGAUCCCAUUACCAUAUAUCAUAUUGGUAAGGGUUUCACUAUAUUCAGGCUCAAUAUAGGAUGGAAGGUGAUGAUUUAAUGUGCAGGAACUGUGCGUAAAGGAAUAAAAAAGAGAGGGCGGGGGUGUGCUCAGGGAAAACAAUGUUGUUGGUGCUCUUUAAAAAUGAGUUAUUGAUAUGCAGAUUGAAAAGGAGACUAAUUUGAAGGUGGGAGGAACCUUUUGGUCAAGCUAACCAAAUUAUACUUAUGUUUAUACAUAUGCAUGCUUGUACUGGGAUUUGAUUGUGUUUUAAACUAGCAUCCUGUCAUAUUAGACUGUCUUUAUGUCAUAAUUCAUCAUAGUAUGCCGAAUUCUUCAUAGGUGAUGAAUGGUGGGACCUAUGUGCGGGGCCCCAUGUUGAAAAAAAACUGGAAAUAUUAACAGAAAAGUUCUCGAACUUGAGUCUAUUGCUGGUGCCUACUGGAGAGGAGAUGAAAAGAAACCGAUGCGGCAGAGGAUCUAUGGCACUGCAUGGGAGAGUGAAGAUCAAUUGAAGGCAUUUCAAAGAGGAAGCUAAACGUCGAGAUCACAGGCGCCUUGGUCAAGUUCUUGACCUGUUUUCUAUACAGGUACUCAGAAUUGCCCUGAAUCUCUUUCUGCUGUUUACGCAGAUUUAUCAGUUAGCAAUCCCAUUAUUUGUAAUUAUGAGGAUUCUUGCAUUGAACAUGUUCAUUGUUGAAUUUUCACAGAAUGAUGCUGGUGGGGGUUUAGUGUUAUGGCAUCCAAAGGGUGCUAUUGUGAGGCAUGUAAUGUAAGAUCUGUGGAAAAAGAUCCACAUAGAAUGUGGUUACGAUCUGCUGUAUACUCCACAUGUUGCAAAGGGGCAGAUAAGUGGUCAUCUGGAUUACUACAAGGAGAAUAUGUAUGAUCAAUGAAUGUUGAGGAUGAACUUUAUCCAUUUCGACCGAUGAACUGCCCCUAUCAUAUCUUGGUUUACAAUAGGAAGCCUCACUCAUAUCAUGAAUUUCCUAUUCGAGUUACUGAGUUGGGAGCCGUAUAUAGACACGAAUUAUCUGGAAGCUUGCCCGGUCUUUUUCGUGUAAGAGGUUUUACUCAGGUAUGAUGUUAGUAUUUGCAAACUGUUAGUCUAUAAUCCUAGGUGUAUGAAGUGGUUUUUUUUUGUUUAACCUCGGGACCUGUUGCAGGAUGAUGCCCACAUAUUUUGUCUAGAAGAUCAGAUCAAAGAUGAAAUUAGGGGUGUCCUAGAUCUUACCGAAGAACUUUUGUUGCAAUUCGGCUUCAGAAAAUAUGAGGUCAAUCUCUCUACGAGGCCAGAGAAAGUUGUUGGAGAUGAUGAUAUAUGGGUGAAACUGUGAAAGCAACAUCUGCCCUUAGAGAUGCUUUGGAUGAUCAAGGUUGGAGCUAUCAAAUUGAUGAAGGUGGUGGUGCCUUUUAUGGUCCAAAGAUUGAUCUUAAGUUGAGGAUGCCCUUGGAAGGAAGUGGCAGUGCUCAACUAUACAGGUUAAUCCUGAACUCAUGACGGGAUAAUUCUAAUGUGUGCUUUGUUUUUUAAUUGGUAGUCUCUCCGUCUAUCUCUGUAUCACUUUGUAAAAUGUUCAUUGGAGAUUUGAGCAUCUUUUUUGAAUUGAGUGAAUUACAUGGAUUUAUUUGAUAGACUAAAGCCACUUAUUAUUGUUAUUUUAAAUUGUUUGAUCUUUUGUAUUUCCCAAAUUGUACAGGUUGAUUUUAACCUACCACAGUGUUUUGACUUAACAUAUGCUGACUCAAAACUCUGAAAAGAAGCGGCCUAUCAUGAUUCAUAGAGCUGUUCUUGGGUCAUUGAAGCGAUUUUUUGGGGUCCUUAGAGAGCAUUAUGCCGGGGAUUUUCCAUUAUGGCUUUCGCCAGUACAAGCUCAUGUUUUACCAGUUACUGACUCUCAGGUUUGUAAAGCAGUUGCAAGUUUAAUUUGUCAAUUAACUCAAGAACCCUCAACACACCUGCACAACGGUUACCUGGGCUACGACCCCCAACUCUCCUCCCAGCGAUUCGACUCCUUUGUCGACUCCGAGUCGCUCAAGGACUCCGCCACCGAUUCCCCAAUCUUCCACAGCUCUGCUGUAGACAACGCUUUCGCCACUCAGCCGGCAUCGGAGGCCUUCUCUCCUCCGUUGAUCUACGCUGAAUCGAACGGCCGGGGCUUUGAUGGAGGGUUUGGCGGGUCCGACGAUCCGAUUUUGCCGGCUCCAUCAGAGAUGCUGCCUGAGGAGGGCUUCGCUCUCAGAGAAUGGAGGGGGUAGGUUCUCGAAUUCUAAUUGUUUUCGAUUGAACCGAUAGUUCUGUAUAGCAAUUAAAUUUUGACUCUUUUGUGCAAUUUAGUUGAAAGUUGUUGGUUUUGAUUUGGCUUGAUCUUUCUGUUGCUCAGAAAUUGAGUGGAAGUUGUUGUUUUGAUUUCGGUAGUUUUCAAGAAUUGGAUGCUUAGUGAUCAGUAAUAGUCUGGCUUUAUCGGGUAAGGAGAUAAAGCAAUUAAAUUUCAAAUUUUGGAUUUAUAGUUCGUAUUUUGAGCCUGAAUUCAUGAAACAAACAUAACCCAUUAUUUAUUAGCGAUUAAUGGUAUGAUUAAUUUAGUUUUUAAUCAUAAUCAAUAGCAUGUAGCUUUAGCAGAAGUGGGGUUUGGGAAAUUGGCUAGCACCCAUGUUACUUUUUGUUUGUCUGCUUUCCAUUUCUCCUUUCUCUUGCCAUCUUCUCUGUAUUUUGGCUGCUUCUCUCUCCCGCACUCCCUUUUUUACUCUUGGUUCUGUGGUUCUCCAGCCGCCGUUAGGUUUUUGUGGUCGGACAACGAUGGAAUCCGAGGACGAUGACUACUGCAGCAGCGACGAUUACUACUAGAAAUUUUUAUUUUGAAUUCGUAUCCCCUAAUCGCCGAUCUCCUUAGGUUUGCCCCAAGCUGGCAAAGGAAUAAGGGGAACGGAGCUCAGACUAUCAGAGGUAUAAAUUCACAUCCCUAAUUUUUUUUUUUUAUUAAUUUCAACCGGAUCUGAGUAAUUCUAAGUCAUGGAUCUAUGAAUAGUGUCUGUUGAGUCUCUGAGCGUCUCUAUUUUUUUUCAUCAAAUGGUCUCUGUAGUGUCUCUCUGUAUUUGUGCAUCCAUAUGGGAAUAUGAUAUUUAAAAGCUCAUUAUUGUCCUGGGAAACCUCCUAAAUUAUCGAUUCCUUGCUUUCUACGUACAAUGCUUCAUAUUCUGUUUUCUAAUUUUCUGAUUUUGGGGUGGAGGGAGUGCUAAUAUGGUAAUUUUCGGGGAGUUUGGGUCUUUGCGGGAUUUUUUUGGGUAAAUUUGUGAUUUGCAGUUGAUUUAUGGGUUUGGUUUGAAUGCACUGACAAAAGUUAUUGUUUCUGUUAAUGCAGAUGAUGAAAGGUAAGUUUGAACGGAGAAAGGGUUGAAGUGGUGUCUGGUUAGAAGGAGAAAGAUCCAUGGCAGUUGGCACGACCAUGGCCACGGCCACGAAGUGGAGACAUUGUUGGCGAUAUCGAAGCUUCUCAAGGAAUUGACCAAGGAGGAGGACAUGAAAGUACAUAUUUGGAUUUCAUCAGCUUGACCAAGAUCAUGAGCAUUUUGAUUGUCUGCAGCUCUCAGUUCUUGGUAUUUCUUCUUACACAUUUAACCUGGUUGAAUUUUUUAUUUUGUGGGUUUGGAAAUUCAAGUUUUUUUUUUCUGCAAUUUAUAUUUCCAUUGAAGUUUUUGAACUGUUCUGUUUGGUUGCCAGUAUGAUUACUUAUAGACUAUUUCGCCAUAUGCAUUUGCUACAAAAUGUAAACUUAUUUUAAAUGAAACAUGUUGAAGUCUUGCAUAAGCUAUUGUGUGUUGUUAAAAGAGAGGGGGCAUCUAGCAUACAACACACACGCCAUGGGUGUACAACUAAGUUUGCCAUGGAAGGAUUUCUAGAUGUCUUCGAUGCCUCUCCUUCAGCCAAACCUCUGCAUUUACAUGAAUUUUUAGAUUGCAGAGUCUGACAGCAUGAAGCAUGUAGACCGUUAGCAGCUAUAGAUUUAUUUUUCUAAACAUUUUGGAUAGGAAAAUAAAUGGUUGGUAAAGGUAAAACUGAAAUUGAUAAACACUGAGGUUAAACAUGUACAGUUGAAACCGUAUCAUUUGUAUAAUUUUUUCCCAUAAAAAAAAAGAAAUUAGGGUCACAUGGCUUCGCCAAGCUCACAGCACACACGCCAUGAGAAGAAAUUUAAUGACUAUUGUCUGUUGCUAAAAGAGAGGAAAGGUAAAAGGUAAUGGAAUAAAUCUGUUCUCAAAAUCUAAAACUAAUAUUCUCAAUGUGUUUGAAUUCUCUUCUUUUCAUUGUCAUUAUUUGGCUUCCUUCUUUCAUUGUUUGUUCAUUAUACAACUGUUUUACUUACCAUUAAAAUCCAACUGAUAUAGUUUGAUAUUACAGAUAUGAAUCCCAGAAAUUAGUUAAACAGUUUAUAAUCUAUUCAAAUUAACAAGAAAAACAUAUGUUCCCAUGCAUAUAGAAACUCAGUGGAGAUAAAACUACAUUUGUAAAUGGGGCAGAGCACCAAUGAAGUGAUUAUGGUGCAUGCGUUGUGUGGUCUAAUAUAGGAAGUAUAUUAGUUGUACGAGUGAUAAUGCGACUUAUUGCAUGUAAAUUUAUCAUCAAAUUUGAAAGAUAUUGUACAUUUAUUUUGGUGAUCGAUAUAUCAUUGUUUGAUUUCAGUCUUUUGUUUUUACCUUUUCAAAUAGUUGGUCUGCAUCUCUAUAUUUUCCCAUUGCCUCCACGCAAAAGGUCAAUUUUCUUUUUUGUCAUUAAAAUGUUCUUAGAUUCUGGUUAUGUGUUUGGUUUUUUGCUAUUGUAUCUUUUGAAGUUUGCUUAUUUGUAUAUUUGUUUGCAUCUGGUUUUGCUUGGUUGGUCUAUAGGUGGCUUGGUUGUAUCUUCCCCCUUCCUUUUUAUAAAUUUAUUGCUUGGCAAUGUUAAUUUGUAACUGCAAUGCGCAAAAAAACUAGGACUAGCAAGAGAGUGGAUGAUACAAGAAAGACAUAAUAUCCUGCUUUAACUGGUGUACAAGUGUGUAAUGACAAUAUUUAUCAUGCUAACAAUGUGGAAAUCAACCUGCAUUAUUAGCUUUUACUACCCUCAUGUAAAUUUGUAAUCAGUCAUUGAUUUCUGUUCUUUUAUGCACAGUUUUGGGUUUGUGGUAUUGUGUUGAUUGAUGCUAUUGGGGCUGGAGAAUGUUAAAAUCCCAUGUUGGAAGCUUAACUAAAUGAAAAACAAAAAGAAAUGAAUGUUGGCAAUGUUAAUUAGUAGUGAGCCGCUAGACCGCCUCUAGAAUGAUGGCUGGCUGGCUAGCCCCACCAAUUUUCUCUUUUGUGUUUCCAUCUAAUUUGGUGUAUAUUUUUGGCAGAUGGAUUCGGGAGAUGCCGAUUGCUAGCAGAUGGAACAAUUGCUUCUUGGGCUCUUCUAACUAACUGACAUUCAGUAUCAUGUAAGGAAUUAUAAUGGCUUCGAUUCUUCUGUACUUUUCCUUUAAAGUUUAGUGUUGUAGUACUAAGUUUUAUGGAUGUCACAUUGAGUCAUGUGACCAUCGUAUUCUCUCACAGCUCACAACGACGAAAUCGCGCAGGGCUUCGUUGAUUUCUGUCAACUCUGACCUCGACCAGCAUCGGGUAACCUAUUGACCACCCCCUCUCCAUCUUCUUUUUCUUCUUCCGCUUCUCCCUGUGCAUUCCAGUUUGACUGUCUAUGAUCGAAAAGGUCAGUCCAUCUAAAUUCAGCAAUUGACUCUCAAACUCUGAAUCUGAUUUCAUCUCCUUCUGCUGUUCUCCUCCAUUCCCCUCGUCUCUCUCUUUCUUCUGUAAAUUUAAUCAACUAAUUCAAUUAUUCAUUUUUUUUAUAGAACAUCUGUUGCUCCACGAAAGAUUGGGUUUUUGCUUGAUCAUUGUCAAACGCUGUAGCAACUGUAAGUUUGUCAAAAUUUAUAAUCAUGGUUAUUUGUUGCUGGAAUUUUGAUCGUAGUGGUCCAGAUUUACUUGCUCAUGAUCUUUUUAUUGCUUUACUGUGAAAAGAUGGGAUAAUUUACUGCAAAAUAUGCUUAAUUUAAUGGAGAUUUGCUAGGUUUUUAAUACAGUUAUGUUAAUUGAAUAAUGGAUAUUGGAGAUUUUCUCUAAAGGAUUAUAAUUUAUAUAGAAUUUAUAAAUUUUAUCUCUUUCGGGUUACUUUAUGUUUCGAAUUAGUUGGAUUUAGCAUUCUUCUCAAGUUUUGAUAAUUGUUUAGUUUCUGAGUUUUGUUCCUUGCAUGGUUGAUUUUCUUUGAUAAUUGUUGAAUUCUAUAUUUGCUUGGUACUUAGGAUCUAAAGCAUUUUGCCUUUUGAAAAGCAGCAGGGAAAGUAUGAGGUACCCUUUUCUUCUUUGUGUUUUUUUUUUUUAAUUUUAAAUUUCUAAUUUUUAUGCAAGACAUGAAAUAUUGUGGGAAUCAAAUGUAUGAUUGUCACCAAAUAUAUAUAUCUUUUGUGGAAUAUUAUUGGUGAACAUCGCUUGUUGGUGAUGGAUGUACAUAUCAAACGAGUGAGAAAAAAGAACAAGACUUGGAAGUGCCCAAGGACUAGAUGGUGGAAUCUAAAAGAACAAAAACAAGCCAUUUUCAAAGAGAAAGUAAUCACCCAGUGUGGGAUAGAGAGGGGGAAGCUAACCAAAUGUGGGAUUCCAUGGCUAGUUGUAUCCGAAAAGUAGCAAAAGAGGUAUUAGGAGAGUCCAAGGGCUUUGCCCCACACCAAAAGGAAUCUUGGUGGUGGAAUGAGGAGGUACAAACAAAGGUGAAGGCUAAGAAGGAAUGUUGUAAAGCCUUAUACAAGGAUAUGACCGAUGAAAAUGGUGAAAGGUAUAGAAAAGCGAAGCAAGAGGCGAAGAAAGCUGUGAGAGAAGCUAAGUUAGCGGCUUAUGACGAUAUGUAUAAGCGACUAGAUACCAAAGAAGGAGAGUUGGAUAUCUAUAAACUAGUUAGAGCAAGGGAAAAGAAGACAAGGGACCUAAACUAAGUGAGGUGCAUCAAGGAUGAGGAUGGAAAGGUUCUUGCUACAGAGAACGCGGUAAAAGACAGAUGGAAAGGUUAUUUUCAUAAUCUUUUCAAUGAAGGACAUGAAAUGAGUGCUUCUUUAGGGGAGUUGAGUAACUCAGAAGAGUGUAGAAACUACUCCUUUUAUCAUAGAAUCCGAAAGGAAGAAGUGGUUGUAGCUUUGAAGAAGAUGAAGCAUAGAAAAGCAGUAGGCCCAGACGAUAUACCAAUCGAAGUGUGGAAAGUUUUGGGAGAGACAGGUAUAACAUGGCUCACUGACCUUUUCAAUAGGAUUUUGAAAACGAAGAAGAUGCCAAAUGAGUGGCGAACGAGCACUUUGGUGCCUAUCUACAAGAAUAAGGGCGAUGUACAAAAUUGCAUGAACUAUAGGGGUAUUAAGCUAAUGAGUCAUACAAUGAAGCUCUGGGAGAGAGUCAUUGAGCAUAGAGAUAGAUUAAGGCAAGAGACACGGGUUUCGGACAACCAAUUCGGGUUCAUGCCAGGGCGCUCAACCAUGGAGGCAAUCUAUCUCUUACGAAGAUUGAUGGAAAGAUAUAGAGAUGGGAAAAAGGAUUUAUAUUUACACAUGGUCUUUAUAGAUUUGGAAAAAGCGUAUGAUAGGGUCCCAAGAGAGACAUUCUUUGGAGGAUUUUAGAGAAGAAAGGAGUACGAGUAGCAUAUAUCCAAGCUAUACAGGAUAUGUAUGAAGGAGCAAAGACUGCCGUAAGAACUCAUGAAGGACAAACCGAAAGCUUCCCCAUAACUGUAGGAUUACAUCAAGGCUCAUCCUUAAGUCCUUACCUUUUUGCGUUGGUAAUGGAUGAGUUAACAGGACAUAUUCAAGAUGAUAUUCCUUGGUGUAUGCUUUUCGCAGACGAUAUAGUGUUGAUAGAUGAAACUCAGGAAGGGGUAAAUGCAAAGCUUAACCUUUGGAGAGAAGUGUUGGAAUCUAAAGGUCUUCGCCUAAGCUGAUCAAAGACAGAAUAUAUGGAGUGCAAGUUCAGUGCAAAUGGAGGCCAAAACGAGUUAGGGGUGAGGAUCGGAGAUCAAGAAAUACCAAAGAGCGACCGUUUUCGUUACCUAGGAUCUAUCUUGCAAAAGAACGGAGAAUUAGAUGGAGAUCUCAACCAUAGAAUACAAGCUGGAUGGAUGAAGUGGCAGAGUGCAUCCGGCGUGUUGUGUGACCGCCGUAUACCACUGAAGCUCAAGGGAAAAUUUUAUAGGACGGCAAUAAGGCCGGCGAUGCUGUAUGGCACAGAAUGUUGGGCGGUGAAGCAUCAACACGUACAUAAAAUGGGUGUAGCGGAGAUGAGGAUGCUUCGUUGGAUGUGUGGGCACACGAGAAAGGAUAAGAUUAGGAAUGAGGAUAUCCGGGGUAAAGUAGGAGUAGCCGAAAUUGAAGGAAAGAUGAGAGAAAAUCGGUUACGGUGGUUUGGACAUGUGCAAAGAAGGCCUACUGACGCUCCGAUUAGAAGAUGCGACUAUGGGACAGAGGUUCAGGGCCGAACGGGUAGAGGAAGACCUAGGAAAACUUUGGAAGAGACCCUAAGAAAAGACUUAGAGUACUUGGAUCUAACGGAGGACAUGACACAUGACAGAACACAAUGGCGUUCUAAGAUUCAUAUAGCCGAUCCCACUCAGUGACUUGGAUUUUCCAAGUAUCCAACCGAGAAGUUUUCCUCACUCGGGAAAUUAAGGGAACACUACCUCAACUUACAUGCUCCACUCACAAAGCUUCAACAUACAAGCUUCAACAAAAGAAAAUUCAAAGAACCUAGCGAAGAAGGCUUUGGUGUAUUUAACACAAUACGUUGAAAUGAAGGAAAGCUUAUUUAUUGAUAUCCCCGAUAAGUUACAAAUAUGUACAUAUACUUGAGUCAAAAUAAACAAACAAGAGGGAGCCUUUACAAAGGUUGCUUAGGAGAAGUCUCAGCAGUCGGUAGAGCCCCAGAAAGAGAAGGCAUCGGAGGGGGAUCAUUCGGAGCCUCAGUACUGGACAGAACCCUAGAAGGAGGAGGCAUCAGAGGUUGAUCAUUUGGAGCUUCAUUACGCGGUACAGCCCCAGAAGACGAAGGCAAUAAAUGCCUUUGGAACAAACCCACAAAUCUCUGAUGAUCAAGUAAAACCUGACCAUCAGAUUCCUUCAUCUGGUCAAGCUUCCUCUUCAUGUUUGUAGCAUAGUCAUGUGCGAGCCGGUGCAACUGUUUAUUCUCAUGCUUGAGCCCUCUAAUCUCCUGUUUGAGACUCAUCACUUCAGCCGCCAAUGAUUCAACUUGGCUAGUUCGAGCAAAUAGGCGUUGGGCCAUAUUAGACAUAGAACCUGCACACUGAACACUAAGAGCCAGAGAAUCCUUAACAGCCAACUCAUCAGACCGUUUGGAAAGUAGUCUGCUAUCUUUGGGAGUGAGAAGGUUCCUGGCCACUACCGCAGCGGUCAUAUCAUUCUUCAUCACGGAAUCCCCAACGGUAAGAGGACCAGUAGGGGAGACGAAGGAUGGGCGCCAUAUGUUGUCUGGAGAAGGCGGGGCUGCCUCUUCAACAAGGUUCAAGUCAAAACGACGGUCGGAGGGGCCAGACAUUUUCAAAGGUGUUGAAGAGAGAAGAGGUCGGACAAAUCAAGAUCUUAGAAGUGCAAGAAUGGAGCUUCUACUGGUGGAUAUUCAAGUGUGCUUUGGAACUUAAUGUCUGCCCCUAUAAAAAUCUGCACUCGAUGAAGCUUCAGAAAUCGAAGAGGCGCCUGCUCAGAAAUCGAAGAGGCGUUUGCUUUCUCAAAAGCUGGGUUGCUCAGAGACCACGAGGGUCGAUCUCAGAAAUCGAAGAGGCGUUUGCUUUCUCAAAAGCUGGGCUGCUCAAAGACCACGAAGGCCGAUCUCAGAAAUCGAAGAGGCUUGCUUUCUCAAAAGCUGGGCUGCUCAGAGACCACGAGGGCCGAUCUCAGAAAUCGAAGAGGCACCUACUUUUCCAGCCCUGUCAGCACCUGUCACACGCACACUCAGCUUUGUGGAAAUUAUGGGCAUUCUGUCGAAGAUUUCUGGCGAAGUAGAAAGCACAUGAAUCGUACUGUUCAAUCACCCACUUCCUACACGCAACAGUAGCUCAUGGGUACCACAUAUAACUUUGCCAAAGUUCUCUGACAAAGUUGAGACACGUGAAGCUUGCAGCUCCCACUACAUCGCUCUGACCAAGAAGGGUAAAAGAUUAGCAAAGAAACAACACUAACAAAGUUUAGACACAUAAAUUUUGAAGGUCUAGCUACCAUAUUAUUACCCACAAGGGUAAAGGAACAGUACCACUGCUGGAUAAUUGGAAAGUCCCGGUGUGUCAACCUCUGUGCUUCGUGGCAAGGUAGACUAGCAAACAUGCCCAACCUUUACUCACAUUCGAGAAACACUCCCAACAAGAUUGCUUGCUCCAAAAUCGAAGAGAGGCACCGCCAUCCGAAUCUCGAGAGCCAGACUCCCAACAUGAUUACUUUCUCAAAAAUCGAAGAGAGGGUAAAGGAACAGUACCACGACUGGAUAAUUGGAAAGUCCCUGUGUGUCAACCUCUGUGCUUUGUGGCAAGGUAGACUAGCAAACAUGCCCAACCUUUACUCACAUUCGAGAAAACACUCCCAACAAGAUUGCUUGCUCCAAAAUCGAAGAGGCACCGCCCUCCGAAUCUCGAGAGCCAGACUCCUAACAUGAUUACUUUCUCAAAAAUCGAAGAGAGGGUAAAGGAACAGAUCUGUAUGUCAACCUCUCUGCUUCGUGGCAAGGUAGAAUAGCAAACAUGCCCAACCUUUACUCACAUUCGAGAAAACACUCCCAACAAGAUUGUUUGCUCCAAAAUCGAAGAGGCACCGCCCUCCGAAUCUCGAGAGCCAGACUCCCAACAUGAUUACUUUCUCAAAAAUCGAAGACACCGCUCUCCGAAUCUCGAGAGCCAGACCCUCAGUGGGAUUGCUUUCUCAAAAAUCGAAGAGGCAUCGUUCUCCGAAUCUCGAGAGCCAGACCCCUAGUAGGAUUGCUCUCUCAAAAAUCGAAGAGGCAUCACCGCCCUCCGAAUCUCGAGAGCCAGACUCCCAACAUGAUUACUUUCUCAAAAAUCGAAGACACCGCUCUCCGAAUCUCAAGAGCCACACCCCCAGUAGGAUUGCUUUCUCAAAAAUCGAAGAGGCAUCGUUCUCCGAAUCUCGAGAGCCAGAUCCCCGACAGGAUUGCUUGUUCGAAAACCGAAGAGGCACCACUUUCCCAACUUCAAGAGCUGGAUCUCCUUGGAUAAAGCUUGUCUGUAAUCUUCACACGCAACAUCAGCUUUCCAGAUACCACAGACCACUUUUUCAAAGUGCUCUGACAAAGUUAAAACUUGUGAAGCUGGCAGCUCCCACUACCGUGCUAUGACCAAGCAGGGUAAAGGAAUAACAUUAUUACUUGAUGUUAGGGAGACUCCUAUAUAUGUCGACCUCCAUCCCCAACGGACAGGCAGACCUGCAAAAAUGCUUAACCCUUCCUCUUAUCUGAGAGGGCACUCCCAACGAAGCCUUUCGAAAUAUUCAGCUUUCUUUCCCCCCGAUAAUACCUCUGUAAACAAGCUAUACUAGAGCAAGAAUAUCUCAUAUCAUCAGGGUUAAAAGCAAGAGUAUCCCAUAUCAUGCUUUUUCCCUGUUUUUUCCUUUGGCCUUGUUCUUACCUGCAAGACAAGGAGAAAGAGAGUAAUCAGUCAGCACUUGGAAUCAAGCUUCCAGCCAGGAACUGACUGCCUGGAACCCUUUACCUGAUUACUUACCUGGCAUUGCUCUCGAGUACUCAUCUUCAACACCUUAUGCUUCCAGGGAAGAUCCCGCAUCUGCCUGAGGAACAUAUAGGGCAAGUGAGAAGGAUACAAGGAAGCAUGUGGAGACAAGCGUAACAGCACCGAUACAUCCAUUACUCUGUCAAAAGCAAAAGUAUCCCAUAUCAGCAGGGUCGAACGUACUCUAGAUUUGAUGGACUUGUUUUGACCCUCAAAUUCUUCAGUCGGCCUUAUCUCUGGAGGAAACCAGAAAACCCUCCAGCCCAGUUCAAGAAUAAGCCUGUGGAAAGUUACUUCUUCAAAAGCAAAAGUAUCCCAUAUCAUCUCUUCUCAUUUUUCUUCUCUUUAUCCUCCAUGCUACCUGGAAGAUAGGGAGAAUGUGAACAAUCAGCCGGAGCUCUGAUUGCUUACCUUGUCUGUCACCUCUUUCAGCAGAUCCCCUAGCUCGGCGACUUGGGGGACUCCUACUACAUGGUUUGUAUCGCGCUUGACCAAGCCUGAAACUACAAGUAAGCUUCAAGUGACAUUGAUACAUUACCUUGUGCAUCUCCACCAGUUACAGAUACCACCCCUGGAUGGAGGAAGAGUACUUCCAGAGAAGAUGCCACAUCUACCUAUGAGACAGAUAAGGAAAGCCAAGACAAUACCACACUCCAGUACUUAGAAGUUUCGUGGUUACUAUAUCAUUCACUUGUACUCACUAAAGGAGAGCUUGAACCUAUGUACUUGUGUAAACCCUUCACAAUUAAUGAGAACUCCUCUAUUCCGUGGACGUAGCCAAUCUGGGUGAACCACGUACAUCUUGUGUUUGCUUUCCUAUCUCUAUCCAUUUAUAUACUUAUCCACACUAAUGACCGGAGCAAUCUAGCGAAGAUCACAAAAAGUGACCGUUUUCGCUACCUAGGAUCUAUCUUGCAAGAGAACGGAGAAUUAGAUGGAGAUCUCAACCAUAGAAUACAAGCUGGAUGGAUGAAGUGUAAGAGUGCAUCCGGCGUGUUGUGUGACCGUCGUAGGCCACUGAAGCUCAAGGGAAAAUUUUAUAGGACGGCAAUAAGGCCAGUGAUGUUGUAUGGCACAAAAUGUUGGGCGGUGAAGCAUCAACACGUACACAAAAUGGGUGUAGCGGAGAUGAGGAUGCUUCGUGGGAUGUAUGGGCACACGAGAAAGGAUAAGAUAAGAUUGGGAAUGAGGAUAUCCGAGGUUUGGACAUGUGCAAAGAAGGCCUAUUGACGCUCCGGUUCGAAAAUGUGACUACGGGACAGAGGUUCAAGGCCGAAGGGGUAGAGGAAGACCUUGGAAAACUUUGGAAGAGACCCUAAGAAAAGACUUGAUUUUGGAUCUAACGGAGGACAUGACACAAAACCGAGCGCAAUGGCGUUCUAGGAUUCAUAUAGCCGACCUCACUUAGUGGGAAAAGGCUUUGUUGUUGUUGUUGUUGUUCCUUAUCUGCUAUGUUGUAUGUGAAAUUCUGAAAUGAUGGCAUUUGUUAAUCUGUGUUUUGGGUUGUGAUUUCCAUAUUUUACUUCCAAGUUCUGCGUCAUUUAUCUGACCUGAAAAAAAUAUUCGGUCCUACUCCUAGGCUAAACAUUUGUUGGUUUUAUUUUUAUUCCUUAUAGAAAUUCAAACAUCAUCCUGCAAUCAAAACACCGCUGGAAGGUGGGACUGUUCCCUAUAAGUAUGCUGUCAGCACUGAAUGAAAUGUUUAUUGAAGAGUUAAGGUAUGAGGCUUUAAGAACAGGGUUUCUCAUAGCUCGAGUUCUCAUUGUUGUCAAUCAUAGUGAUUUCAUGUAAGAUGUAGUUCAAGCACACUACAAGCAGAAGUAGACAAUCUGUUGCUUAUUGAACUACCCUUGUUAUCAGUUUUGACUCAAAAAAAUAUUUGAUGAUGACAUGCUGAAUUGAAUAUUGGCUAAAAUUAUAUUGAAAUUUGCAGGCCGAAGCAGAUAUCGUUAAAAGAGCUCUAAGUCACCCUCUGAAAUUAAUUGCCAAAAGUGUAAAUGGAAGCAUUGUCAGUGAGAAGGCAUUUUUUUUUUCGUUUCACUUUAUAUACUAUGCUCACUAUCUGUUUAAUAUGUUUCAUCGUAUAAAUUAAAGUCUCAUUUCUCAGGUGCUUUCAAGUGACAACCCCAAUUAUGGAUGCAUGUUGCCACUGGAAACUAUGAAAAUUUAAUAGUUGCUGGGAUCACUGAUCCAACUAAAGUGGGUUUCUUUAUCAAGUACUUCAUGAAUAGAAUAUUUCAGAGAUCCAAUCGCUGGGACAGAUUGAAGAAGGUGAAGAUCACAGGGGUGGGAUACUGGGGAGGGUGGUAGGGUUAUGGGGAGUGGGCUCUGGUUGGUUUCGAUUUGACCGAGGCCUUGGUUCGAUGGAACCGAGGUGAUGGGGACUAUUCAUGAUAUCACAGCCAGAAGAUAUAGGGCCUAUGCGUGGGGUUUAGGGGUUUCACGGGGAGGGUUACAGAGGGAGGGGGUGCACGCGUGAAUUGCAGAGGGAGAGGGAGAGAGGGAGAAAGAGGGGGAGUAGGGUUGCUAUAUUCAAGUUCUCUUUUUUAUUUUUACUUGAAUUUGAUUUGAUUUGAUUUAUUUGAUUUUUUUUUUUUUUUUGGUGACAGGUUGAGAAUGCCAAAGCUCUGCUGGAGGUGUAGGUGAGAAUUUUAAUUUAAUUCAUGGUAUAUUGUUGUUUUUUUUUUUUUACUUUAUUUUUGUGGGAUUGUGCUGUUUUUGGGGAAAUCAAUAUUAAAUUGAAGUAAAGUUUAGAUAUUUCUGUAAUUGGGAUUUAGAGUAAGAGAUGAAGAACUGAACGUGAUUGCAAAAUUAAAAGUUUAGAACUUUUUUGGUUUGGAAGCUAAUUUUAAAUUCAGUUAGCUGAUUAAUUAAUAGAGAAAUGUAUAAUGAAUGCGUGAUAUGUUUUUCGAUGCGUAUGAGCAGACAUGGGUACUGCUUCAGCGGCAGCAGCUGCUAUAUGAUGGUAGAUGAGGAAUUCUGAGAUGCUGAGUGCUCUUAGUGUCAGAGAUGAAGACUUGAUAAUGAUCGUAUCCAAUUCUGCCUCAAGGUAUACUUGAUAAUAUUGUCCUUUAUGUGCUGUAUGAUGUUCGUGCCUUUAAUGGGCCUGUCAAAAUAUUUCAGUGCACCCACAAAUUGGUUUUAUCAUCAUACAUCAUUCGUGAGAAAUGGGAUGGUGAGUUUCUCAAUACAGUUUUAAUUUUUGUGCAAAUAAUGUUCGUAAAAAGUCUGUUUUUAUUUAGUUCAUUGCAGAUUCUUAUUCUUUUAUUUAGUUCACCAUUCAUGCUUUUAAAGAUAAGAAGUGCAAGGCUCUCUCAAAUGUUAGUUUUGGGUGGCAAUUGAAAGAUAGGAGGAUAAACAAAAAUACCGACCAAUUGAAAGGAUAAAUUCAGUUGAAAUUAUUUGGUUCAUCAAUUAUUAUAGUUUGAGCUUUCUGCAUUAAAUAUCCUGUUUUCGGGGGAGAGUGAUUCAUAUAAUUGGGUUUUAUUAAAUUUUUCUUGAUUUUAUACAGUUUUUCGUUUAAACUUGUGGAUUUGGAAACACUUUUAUGAGUGUUAAAAUCUUAUUGUAUGUCUAAAAUUUGUUUGGAAUUUGGUGGAUUCUUCAAUUUCAUCACCACCCAUUCUCACAACUUCAUCUAAAGUGUUUCGCAUGUACAAGAUUCGUGUUCAUUGAGGUCAUUUCAAACAGAUUUCAAGCUGAGCUGCAGAAAUUUGAUUCAAAUUGGUGGAUUUGGGUAAGAAACUAAGAAACCAUAAUCUUUUCUUUCGGUUUUAAGAACUAAAUUUCAUGGUUAAGUUUAUGUUUCAAGAUUAUCUUCCUUUCUCCUAAAUGCUGAGUUUUAUGAGAUUACAUUUGGUAAGUCUGAAAACGAAUUAGAAAUACUGAGUUUUAUGAGAUCUAUUUGGCAAGUCUGAAAGCAGAUUGCGUAUGUUUAUAUCUUCCUUUCUCCUAAAUACUGAGUUUUAUGAGAUCACACCAUCUUAUGUUUAUUGUAUAAUCUUAUGCGGUCAGAAGAAUUAUCAUCUUUUUCCUUUCAGAUUUCAACAUACUUGGAAAUACUUCAAAUUUUUUGUAGUGCAGUUUUUAGUUAACAUGAUUACGUAAGUUCUGUUUCUUUAGUAAAUUUUUAUGCAGGAAAGAAAGUCAUUUCUCAGUUUGUAGUUAACAUGAUUACAUAAGUUCUGCUUAUCGACCUCAUUCACUUAUGUUUUCUUCUGUUCAUUCAUAAUUGUGUUAAGUUUAUUUAGGUUAAAUGUGUCUUAUUCAUGCAGUUACUCAUGAAACAGUUGUUCACGCCGCAACAUGCGGGCGUAUUUUCUAAUUGAUACUAUUAUUCAAGACUCAAAAGUUGGAUCUUAAUUCGUUGACCGGUAUGCAACUAUGAAUUUUUUUAGAUGCUAUAUCUACGAAUUUUUCUAGACGCUAGAAAAUAUUAAAGUCCCAAUUAAGACGUUAUGCUAGCAAAUAUAUAGACCGAGAGAAAGCAAGUUGUUUACAUACGUACAAAAUUAUCUCAGUCGUCCCGAUUAAGACUUUACUAGCAAAUAUAUAGACCGAGAGAAAACAAGUUAAAAUUACCUCAGUCGUCCUAAUUAAGACUUUACUAGCAAAUGUAUAGGCUGAGAGAAAGCAAGUUGUCUACAUCCAUAGAAAAGUAUGUCAAUCCCAAUUAAGACGUUGCCAUUGAAUAUAUUAAUUGAGAGAAAUUGAGUCGUUUACCUACAAGUACUUUAGUCGUCCCCAAUUAAGACGUUAGUAGCAAGUUGUUUACGUACAUACAAAAUUAUCUCACUCCCAAUUAAGACGUAAGAAAUUUGAUAAACAAAAACAAGUCAUCGGAAUAAUUAAGCCAAGGUGGUUGGAUGGUGGUGGGUUCAUACGUGGUAGUGUGACUUUCCGUCAUCCAAAACAUAGGAAUUGGAUUUCAUCAGUGCGGUUAGAAAUUAUUUGAUUUUUUCAUUUAAAAUUAAAUACAAAUAGUAUCUGACAAAAACUGAUCGUAUGGUAUACGAUGAACGGCUAAGAUGUAAGGAUAAAGUGGAUAUGGGGAAAAUCCCUUUCUCAAAACAUAUCCUCUUUUGACUUUUCUCGCUGCAUCAUUCAACUCAACUUGCAUAUAUUUUCAUCCCGAUCGAAUUUUCAGUUCAACCACAACUUUUGAAAAUUCCACCUGAGAUUUUUUAUUUUUUAUUUUUAAAAGAAAUCCCACCUUUGUUUUUCUUUGAAAAAAUCCACUUCCACUUAUCUAAAAUUCAUUUUAUCGUUGUAUUUAUACGUAAAAUUAUGAAUGAAAUAUUAUUCUUUACCAGACAAACUUACAAUAUACAUGUAAUUUUAGCAAUAUUUUAAGCUAAUCGUCAAAGUCUUGAGUUCGAUACUUUGUAACAAGGUCAUUGGUAGGUAGGGUUCAAUUUUCAACUAGUCUCUUCUGAAUCCAAAAAAGAUGGAUGAUCGUAGUUCGACACUAGUGUCCAUCUUUUUAGAAAGGAAAAAAAAACUUAUCGAAUAGUGUGUCAUGUUUCUUGUUAGACAUAAUAAUGUGAUUAGUUUAAGAAUUGUCACAAUGACAUCGUGGUUUGAUGUCAUAUCAAAAUCACCAACUAACAAAGAAUUAAUCCUUUGUUCUUUCGCUAUCGAGAAAAAUCCCUCUCCAUAAUUACAGUAAUUGACCAAUUGAGCAAGAAUGUUAAUCCAUAAGUCAAUCCCUUAAUUUUUAAACUAGAAAAAUAUUAACAAUCUAGAACUGUACAUAAAUAUUUUAACACUAAAGCAGCUCAAUGUGCAAUAUUACAGUAUACAAUUCAACUAAUAUGAUCAAAGUCUUGGCCAACUCCAGGUGGGAAAUUAAAAAAGUGGCCGCCAUUUGAUCAUGCAACUUGGACAAAAUAUAUUAUAGGAUAAAUUACAUAAAAUCACCUUAAUUAUCGGUCGAACCACAAUUUCAUACCUCAUGUUUUAAAUAUUUCAAUGUCAUACCUUAAUAUAUGAAUUCGUUGCAAUGUCUAAAUUUUCUUAAUUUAAUUGUUAAAUGAUGAAGUGGUAGGAGUGGGACCCACUCAUUAAAAAAAAAUUCUCUUCGUUUCCCAGAAAUCGUCUCCUCCCCCUACUCCCUCCUCCGUCCCCCUUCUUCGUUUCCCAGAAAAUCGUUUCUGGGUUUGUAUUUGUGUUUUUCGUUUUGGGUUUUGUUUUUGUGGGGUUCUUCGUUUUGACUUUCUGGAACUCUACCUUUGCAAUUUUGUUUGGUGGUUUUUCUUAGAAAAAUGGUGAAGAAGAAGAAAUUGAAGAAAUGGCAGUGGGGCGAAAGCCCCAGUCGGUGAUGGGAUAUGAAGAGAGGGAAAAUGAUAAGGGGAUGGUUUCUAAUUCUCAGUUUUGCGAAAUCUUAGUGAACUUAUGAUGAAGAAAUCAAAUUAGUUUUAUGUAAAGACUGUUGGAGCAAGAUGAAUUGGGUCUGGUUUUGGUUUGCAUCAAUUCCCACUUAUUUGGGGUCUGGUUUUGGUUUGCCAUCGAAACCCACCUGCGUUUUGCGAUUGGCGGUGUAUCAGUUGUUCCCGAAGGAGGACGAAAAUUAGCUGCGUUUAAGGAGGACGAGGAAGAAGGGGAGCGGAGGAAGGAGUGAUUGGAGGAGGAACGGGGACGAUUUCCAGGGAACAAGGAGGAGAGGUUUUUUUAAAAAUUUUUAAAGUUAAUAUUAAUUGUCAAAUAAAAAUAAAAAAUAUAUUAAUUUUUUAUUCGAGUUGGCAAAAAAGUGGGUCUCAUUUCUGCCACGUCAUCAUUUAACAGUCAGAUUAACAAAAAAUUUAAUGGUGGUCUGACAUUGCAACGACUUCAUAAGUUGAGUUAUGACAUUGCAAUAUUUAUAUACAUAUACGUUGUCAAUAUAUGACUAAAAUCUAAUGGUCUUCUUCUUCUUACAUGCAAUGCAUGAUUCAGCCAGUCGGAAUAUAAGUGUUGGUCGUUUAAGUUCACGCCGUCGAGGAGAGCAAGUUCUGCACAUGUACAAUAUGAAGAUGAAGUUGCUGAUGAGGAUACUAUUACUCUGCUUCCUCAGCUGCUUCUGGUUUCAGCUGUCCUUUGCUCAAAAUGCUACCACUGAUCCAUCUGAAGGUUCUCUCUCUCUCUCUCUCUCUCUCUCCCCCCCCUAUCCCUAGACACACACACUUUGCCACAUUUAAAUGUUUUUGACCAGGAACUGGGCUUUUUUCCCUCAACAAAAUGACAUUUUAAGUGUUUUUCGACUAUAUGAAAUGAAGUUUCGAGGAACUUAUUUGUAUAGUCUUUUUUCUUUCCAUAUACAAAACAUCCAAAUUAAGGGUAAUUUUCCUUUGUAAUAAUCAAUUUGAUCUCUCAUUUGAUUCGAGAUAGUCUAGUAAGGGGUAACACAAGUCAAAUUAUGGUGUGAUAUAUAAUACACACAAGGACUGAAUUAACUGAGAGUGCAGUGAGGGCGUUGAACUCAAUAUUUGAACAAUGGGACACACAAGUGCAGUGGAAGAUCAGUGGAGAACCCUGCAGUGGACCUGCCAUCAACGACAACAACCCAGCCAUCGCUUGCGACUGUACUUACGACAACAAUGCUACAUGCCACAUCACUAAACUGUAUGUUAAACUACUCUCUUUAUGAACAAGAUUUCUAUGCCAAUGCUGAUUUUUCACUUGCUACCUAUGCAUGUUAACGUCAUAAUUUGACUGUGUCGCUCCAUUUUAUGUAGUUCUAAAUGUUCAAUCUUUUUGCUUUCCAGGAGCAUGUAUGCUCUUAACAAACGAGGGGUGUUUCCAGAAGAAUUUGUGGCUUUGAGAUAUCUCACAGAUUUGUAUGAAUUUUUUCCAACUCCCUUCUCUGUUUUUGGUUCAUCAAAAUCAUAUAUUGGAUAUUAAAAAUGUAAAACGAAUGAAAAUGGUUUGAAAACUUUGAGUUUUAACGAAAAUGACAAAAUAAAGGGUAAAUUGUAUAGUAUCAUGAUUGACUUUUUAGUGUUAAAAUGUGGUUUUUCGUUAAAGUAAACAGUACCGGGAGCUUUUUGUUAAAGUUCCCUAAUAAAAAUUGUAGAAUUAUCAGAGAGACGGGCCAAAAACUCACUUCCAAGAACAUAGAUACUGACCCAACUUGGUAAUUACCACCUGCACAAUCCGUCAGGUGUGGGUUUAUCUCAAAAAGCCUCGGCAUUAGUUGGAGUGAGAUUUGGAUAUUUAAACUCUUCUUUCUUCAUUUCUCUAGCCGAUGUGGUAUUUCAACAAAAAUAUGGUGAUGUUGUACGAUUAAGAGUUAACGAUUACACUUCCUUUCAAUUUUUGUAGAAGGAUCGAUCGGAAUUAUUUCACCGGUCACCUACCCGCAUUCAUUGGCAAUAUGUCUGCAUUGACUACAUUGUAAGUUGUGAGAGAACAUUUCUUUUAAGUACUCAUACUUUUGAUGAGACCCGUAGCAAUUUGUAUACUUCAUUUUGAAUAUCAUAAUCUACAGUUAUGUACUUUACACCUUUUCGCUACUAUUUAUGCCGUAAUCUACAAAAAAUCGUUAUGCUUUUAUUGAAUAAUGCAGAACUAGUUUCCUGUUAUGUAAUGUAAUUAAGUUUAAUGGUGCUUAUCUUUCACUAACUGACAUCUCUAUUCAGGACAAUUGGCGUCAAUUCAUUCUCUGGGCCCAUCCCCAAGGAGCUUGGAAACCUUAAGAAGCUAGUCCUGCUGUAAGCCAUAAAAAAUGAGAAAGCGUACAGUAAAAUUUUGUGUCAUAAACAUUAGAUACAGAACCUUUCAAUAAUUGCUUUCAAGUAAUUGUUUGCCUGUUCAACAUGACUUGCAGGGCGUUCGGAUCAAAUAAUUUCUCCGGAACACUCCCACCAGAACUUGGUAAUUUAGUCAAGCUUGAGAAACUGUAAGUGGUUAGUUAAAUCAUCAAAUUUGAAUUGCAUGUUAAUUCCUUACGGAUGAGCAAAAAUUGCACUUUAUCGUAUGAAAUGGGUAUUAAUCAGUUGCCUUAUGAUUUUCACAGUUACAUGGACGGCUGUGGACUCGGUGGUGAAAUUCCUUCAACAUUUGCCAAGCUCACCAACAUGCAAACCCUGUAAGAACGGCUCUUAAAUCGUAUUUUAGAUUUGUUAGUUUAUCCAGUACUUUGAGAUUGCUUUUCUUGGAUGAGCUUAGUAUAUGUCAACUUUUUGAAUUUUAGCUGGGCAUCGGACAGUCCUUUCUCAGGAAAGAUACCUGAUUUUAUAGGGAAUUGGACACAACUCUAUGAUUUGUAAGUAGAGAAACCUUUGAUCUUUUGCAGUUUAUGAAAGCAGACCUGAGAUGGAUAAUUUGUUCACAAGCUUCUUAUAUGUUUCUAUAGGUGAUUUCAAGGGAACUCUUUCGAAGGCCCAAUACCAACCAGCUUUUCUCGACUGACCUCAUUGAACACUCUGUAAGUACAAAUGUUUCAUAAAUUGUAAUUCUCUCCGAAGAGGGGAUUUCAGUUUAUUUUGCAUAUAAUGAUGUAGGCGAAUCAGUGAUAUAUACAAUGGGAGCUCCUCUCUUGAUUUCAUAAAAAAUCUGACAAGCUUGACUCAUUUGUAUCAUUUGUAAGUGAAGAUUCUCAUCGAUCCAGAUACUGUCAUCUAAUUUCUUUUGUAAGUGAAGAUUCUCAUCGAUCCAGAUACUGUCAUCUAACUUCUUUUUCCUUUUGAAAUUUGAUCUACUUUUUAUCAAAUUUUAUGUUUUUGGAAUACAGAUAUCUACGAAACGCAUUAAUCACUGAUACCAUCCCAUCUGAUAUUGGAGAUCUAUAUCUAGGCACUAUACGUACCAGCAAAUACAAGCUUGAGUCCCAGCGAGACCAAUUAGUUUUCUUUCAUUCUGAUUGCUCCUCUCAACUUAUCGUUGGUGUUGUAGGGAUCUGAGUUUCAACAAUUUGACAGGCCAACUCCCAAGUUCUUUGUUCACCAUGAGUUCUCUUACAUCCUUGUAAUCCCCGUCCUUAUUAUUAUCUUUUUCUUGCCUUAUCAUACAUAAGUUAUCAAAUCUUUAACAUUCCCUACUUUGAUUGAAGAAUAUCUCGACUAAUCCUUCUAGAUUUUGUGUAGAUCUGACCUUUUUCUUGCUCAUCUCUUUUUCUUUUCUGGGUGCCUUCUACUAUAAUCGAAAUGGCCAGGAUUCUUGGAAACAAUAGUCUCUCCGGACCUCUUCCGAGCCAAAAGAGCUUUCAACUUCAGACUAUGUAAGUCCUCGUUUCUUAAAGUAGUCAUAUAGAAUGCACGGUGCAUGUAUGUGUUUGUGUAUAUUCGUAAGCAUUCUAAUCCUAUCUUACACAAGUUCUUGAUAACUUUCAUGCAUUUUGUGUCUUUUGAUUCUAUUUUGUUAUUUGCAGAGAUUAGUCUUACAAUUUUUUAUCAGGAAGCUUUCCCCAGUGGGUGACCACAAUGUCACAAAUGUACGUGUCCUUUUAUCUUUCACCUUCAUUUUACAGUUUAAAUCACCAGAAUACGUUUGGACAAAAAAUUGCCGCUGAGAUUUGUUUUCACAGUUCUACUUGCCUACAAAGUUUUGAUCUUGUACAUGGAAUUUUCAUUUGAUAAAGAUAUAGUUCUUCAUAUGUUGAUUGAUUAAUGAUUUUAUGCAGGAACUUAGUGGUCAACAACUUCACAUUUGACAGUUCAAACAUAACGUGAGUUGAAGUUUCUCUUACUCGUUUUAGACGAGCAAUACUAUCACAACUCUUCCACUAUAUGUUUCUAUCGGGAUAACUAAUAAUUGUUCUCUGUGUUUGCAGUCUUCCUGGAUUGAAUUGCCUCCAGAGAAAUUUUCCAUGCAAUCGAAAUGCUCCACGAUGUAAUCUGCUCUUAUGUCACCCAUCAUUUACUAUUUUAAUGCAACGUCAUGUCAGAGGAAAAGGCAUUGCUUCUCUAGUUAUGUAUACAUAUGGAUAUAGAUUGCAAGCAUGUUUUCAUAAGUUCAGUAAUACGCAUAACUGGUCAGAAAUAUGUGACUGAUGAACAUUAGCAUGAGUCUUCAAUUUGACGUUUCAUCGCUAAUCAUGGCUGGCUUCUGGUAUUACAUGAAACUUUACAGAUGCAAACUUCUCAAUCAAUUGUGGUGGAAAACAAAUGACGGGAAGUGAUGGCAUAUUGUAUGAGACUGAAGACUCAGCUCUUGGCCCAGCAACAUUCAAUGUAACCAGUACAGAGAAAUUGGCUGUCAGCAAUGCCGGUUUGUUUUCUGAGAGAAAGGACCCAUUUUCUGGUAAACACCCUUGCACAAGUCACUAGAACAGAUGUGACCCCGGAGCUUUUCCAGACUUCAAGAGUGUCCCCAGGAUCACUGAGAUACUAUGGCAUGGGCCUUGAGAAUGGGCCUUACACUGUAACAUUGCACUUUGCAGAGACGGUUUAUGAAAGUCGCACUUCUCAAAAAUGGGAAAGUCUAGGACGGCGUGUAUUUGAUAUCUAUAUUCCGGUAAGACUACUUAUAGAAUAAAAAUCUAACUUAUUUGAAGUAAACACCUCAUUGGACAGGUUUUCGAUGUUUUAAGCUACCUCUUCAUUUAAAGGAGACUAGAAUUAUCACCUACCUCUUCAUUUGGUUGCUAGGGUACCCGAAGGACGAAGGACUUUGACAUAUCCAAGGAGGCAGGUGGGGCUAAACUAGGAAUUAUGAAAAGAUUCAAUGUUAGCGUGUCAGAGAAUUAUCUUGAAAUUCAUCUAUUCUGGGCUGGUAAAGGGAGUUGUUGCACACCUUCGGCAGGUGAUUACGGCCCACUAAUAGCAGCCGUCCAUGCUGCUUCAGGUAUAAUUUGUGUUAACUAAUAGAGAUUUCCUGUGAAUGGUUUAAAUGUAUUUUUCUGCUGUUAAUUGACACUGAAGAAUUCGUCUGUUUUAUUGCUCAGAUUUUACACUAACAGUUUCUGGGCUUCCACCAACUACUCCAGGAAAGAAGAGCAGGAAUGGGUUGAUAGUUGGAAUUGCAGUUCUUGUUGGAGUUGUGAGCUUACUAUUAAUAUUUGCGAUUCUAUAUACGAGGGGGGGGGGAAAUCAGAAAAAAGGACGACGAAGGUAAAUGACCAUAUUAUUAGUGGUAUUCAAUUCAAGUUUCUCUACUCUGACAUUAACACACACAAGAAUGCUUUCAUGAAAGUAAAACUUAUGUCACACUGUUUCGUGAAUGUGCAGAUAUUUUAGGAUUAGGCCCUCAACCAAAUAUUUUCAGUUAUGCUGAGUUGAGAGCUGCAACCGAAGAUUUUAAUCCUUCAAAUAAGUCAGGAGAGGGAGGAUAUGGCCCUGUUUAUGAGGUGAAAUCCGUAUUACAUCAAUAUCAUGUACUUGGAAGUAAUGACAAGAGAAAUGGGGAGAGCGAGUGAGCAAGAGAAGAAAAUAAAGCUUUUUUUUUCUUUCCUUUCAUGUCACUAAAUUGUGUUUCUGUGUACAUUGUAGGGUACACUUUCUGAUGGGAGAGUAGUGGUUGUGAAGCAACUUUCAGUAGCAUCUCACCAAGGGUAGAGUCAAUUUGUAUCUGAAAUUGCUACCAUAUCUGCUGUGCAACAUCGGAAUCUAGUGAAAUUGUAUGGAUGCUGCAUCGAAGGCAGCCACCGCAUUUUGGUUUAUGAGUAUCUUGAAAACAAGAGCCUGGAUCAGGCACUUUUUGGUACAAACCUAUCUACUUUUAGGUUGCAUAGAAACAACAAUGUCUGCAGUUUCAAGCACUCUAAAAUUGUUAAGAAAUGUUUUUGAUUGGAUAUGUUCACUAAUAUUUCAGGAACAAGUAACUUGCACCUUGACUGGCCUACUCGAUUCAAUAUAUUGUUGGGAACAGCAAGAGGACUUGCUUACAUUCAUGAGGAGUCAAGGCCAAGGAUUGUACAUCGAGAUGUCAAAGCGAGUAAUAUUUUGCUCGAUGCAAAACUCUCCCCAAAAAUAUCAGAUUUUGGACUGGCAAAGCUUUAUGAUGACGAAAAAACCCACAUCAGCACCCGGGUUGCAGGGACAAUGUAAGCCAUCCUUUAUUGUUUUUCCAGAGGUUACAUACAUUAUGGCCACACACAUUUAUACUUGCAUGAAAUUUUAACACACAUGUUAAUAAUGCCUCUAAUGAUCUCAAGCAACAAUGCCUCUAAUGAUCUCAAGCAACAUUGUGCAACCAUUUGAUUAUCUUGCAUUGUAGAGGCUAUUUGGCACCGGAGUAUGCAUUGUUUGGACAUUUGACAGAGAAGGCUAAUGUGUUUGGUUUUGGAGUCGUCGUUUUGGAGAUCCUCAGCGGGAGACCAAAUUCUUACAAUAACUUGGAUCCAGAAAAGAUUUAUCUUCUUGAAUGGGUAGGAAUUGCGUUCGCCUAGCUUCAUUUAGGCAUUGUUGUGAAAAACUUAUUUAUACGUACCUUUGACCGUGGCAUAAUGUUUUUCAGGUGGGACUCUACAUGAAAACGACCAAACUCUAGGGCUGGUGGAUCUGAGAUUGACAAAGUUUAAAGAAACUGAAGCAACUAGAUUGAUAAGAGCAGCUCUUUUGUGCACACAGGGAUCACCGAUGGCAAGGCCAUCUAUGUCACGCGUGGUUGCAAUGCUCUCUGGAGACAUUGACAUAGGCACUGUUAUGUCGAAGCCAAGCUAUUUGACAGAUUAUAAUUUUAUAGAUGUAACAACAUUUUCAACAGGUUGAUUUUUGGUGGAGGAUGAUACCCCAUCAACUGCGUCCAAGCAUAGUAAUGUUCGCCUCAACUAUCAGCCUGAAGGCAACAAUGCAAGUGGUGCUAACACCCCUGGGGUUAAGCCUGUGCCUAGCACACCCCUGGGGUUAAGCCUGCGCCUUCUCCAGUAAACGUCACUCAAUCACUGCUCGUUGGCAUUGUAGGAGAAGGAAGGUGAUAAAUAAUGGGAAAUGAUUUCCGAAUGCCUUUUAUCCUUUUGUGCACCCAUGUGCUUGUCCUUGGGUCUUUUCUGCCCUUAAGGUUUUGGCUAUGACGAUGUAUAUCUAAAAUAAGAUACAAUUUUAUAGAUAUUUGAGUCAAUUUUGUGUUAGUAUGUUACAGUGUAAAUCUCCUCUUUUAAUCAAAAGGAAAAAAAUGGAUGUUUCUUUUCUUAUAGUUGGUGCUAUUCACACUCCCAUUUUAACUUCUCACAUAAUUUUUCUAUAAUUUUUGUCUUUUGAUAUUUUUUAAUUAAUUCGAUCCGACGGUCGAAAAUUGAGAAGGGUGGGUGGAGGUAAAAAUAGGUGUGAAUAGCACCACGCUUUUCUAUCUGAUAACCAAGUAUGUAUAAUAAAACUUUGUUAAUUGUUGGUCGAUCAAUCUCAACGGUGGGGCCGGGUAAAACCAAAAUGUAGGGAAGUUCAUGCUCACCAAAGCAAAUCUCAGUUGAAAAGUAAACUCGAAUCAAUAAAAAAUUCCAAAGCAAGAUCAACCCGUUUAAGGCUAUGGUGCUCGUCUAGUUAUCUUUGUGCCUUUUUUCUUUACAUUUGGAAGUGCCAGUGCCAGAUCACUUGAGGCAACAAGUCCAGGCCCCACAUUUUAUUCGUUCCUAUUGCCUCCAUUGAAAGUGACCGUUAGAAUUUGAACGUUAUAAGCCUACCGUUUUCCAGUCCCACUUUUUUAGUUCUUGUCACUCACUUUGCUCUUCUCUACAAAAGUAUUAGUUACACACACACACACACUUAUUAGCAGCAUAUAUACACCUAUAUAUAUACUCUCUCUUAGUCUCAUCAGAACUCAAAGAAUGAGAGCUUUGGAGAAGUAGUAGUAGCAGAAACUAGAAGAAGAAAGGGAGACAUCUUAGUCUCCCCCCAGAAGCUGAAGUUGUUGCCUGUCAAUAAGUGUUUGUAUGUGGUCAAGGCAAGCACCUUCUUGACCAUCUUAUCUGGCUUCAAAUUCGCAUUCACUGCCUCUUCUAGAAUCACAUCGAACACCUUCCCGAAAUCAGCCAUCCAGUCCUGGCUUUUGAUCAAAGUCUGUGAUAAACCUAGUUCGGAAACCCUAAUGAACAACCGGUCCACGUCAACAUCACCAAACCUUCCCGCUGCAAUCUGCAACAGAAAGGAUCAUAACUGUUAAACCACUAGUUGUACACCCUGGACAAAAGGAAUGGUGCACAUGGACACAACAUUCCUUUACAGCUUGUCUACCACAUGGUUUCUGCACUUGUGUUGUGAUUGCUGCAUCGUGGGCAUCGUGGGCAGCAAGAACAGCACUUGCUGUGCAUUUGUUUAUUGCAACAUCACUUGCUGUGCAUUUGUUUAUUGCAACAUCACUUGCUGUGCUUUUGUUUAAUGCAUGCGUGUCCUUAAAAGGUCGUACCCAGUGCACAAGGCUCCCGCUUUACGCAGGGUCUGGGAGAGGUGAAUGUCGGCUAGCCUUACCCCCAUUUAUGGAGCGGCUGCUCCCAAGUCUCGAACCCGAGACCUACCGCUCAUGGGCGAAGACACUUGUCAUCGCACCAAGUGCGACCUCUGAUGUCCAUUGUAAGAAGUGCAUAUAAAUAUAAACUCUGAUGUCCAUUGUAAGAAGUGCAGUGUAAUAAUAAACCAGUUUCGAAUACCAAGUUUUUCAUGGUAUCUAAGAGCUGACAGUCUAAACGACCAAAAGCUUUAUUUUUUUUUCUCUCAUGGCGUCCAGUUCAAGUUCCUCCAAUCCCAUUACUUUUUCCUCUCUUCCAAAUGCUUCCAACUUUCUGACUAUCAAGUUGGAUCGUACCAACUAUCCCCUAUGGCAUGCCCAGAUGUUGCCCUUGCUUCGUAGCAGGAAUUUGGUGUCUUUUGUUGAUGGAACCAACCCAUCUCCUCCUGCCUUCUUGAAGGAUGAUGCUGGCCAACUCACUGAUAAAGUCAAUCCUGACUUUGAUGCAUGGAUUCAGCAAGAUGCUAUGGUUCUCUCUUGGAUCAACAGUUCAGUCCAUCCCACAGUUCUUGCCUCUCUUAUUGGUAAGACAAGUUCUCUUUCUGCAUGGACUUGUUUACGUGACAGGUAUGCCUCUCAGUCUACUGGCCGUCUCCUCCAAUUGCGUAGUGAACUUAUGAAUACCCAUCGUGGUGAUUCCUCUAUUGCUGAGUUUCUUGAUCGUAUUAAUUGUCUUGCCGACACUCUCUCCCUCUCUGGUUCUCCUAUGACUGACUCUGAUCUUGUUGCCAUUAUUUUAAAUAAUGUUGGGCCUGCUUAUGAGAGUACUGUUGCUUCUGCACAAGCACGGGAUGAGGCCAUUACUUAUAGUGCUUUGGAGGCUCUUCUUCUUGGUGCAGAAAGACGUCAAAAGAUUCAUACAGUGUUUGAAAAUGGGCUCACUGCCCUUGCUGCUGGAAGAGGUCGUCCAGGACCUUCCCGUGGUCGCGGUGCUCCUCGCGGAGGCCGUGGUCACUUCAAUAGUGGCCGUGGCCAAUUUCCUCCUCGUCCUCAAAGCCAGGAACACCAUGCUCCUCCACACCGACAACCUCAUGAUGGCGUUUUUGGUGCUCCUCCUUCUCCAACCCAAUCUGGUGGCCGUAUCCAAUGCCAAAUAUGUCGUCGUCACGGCCAUUCUGCAAUCGAUUGUUUCAAUCGUCUGAAUAUGGCCUAUGAAGGACGUGUUCCUGCUCCACGUCUCCAAGCUUAUGCUGCUACUGCACCGUCUCCGGCAUCCGCCUCUCCCUCUGGCAUCCACAACUGGCUUUUUGACUCUGGAGCCAAUGCACAUAUCACCAAUGAUUUGAAUCAAAUUUCAAAUCCUCGUCCCUACAAUGGCACUGACAAUGUUAAUGGCGUGGUGGACGGAUCAGGUUUGCACAUUUCUCAUGUUGGCACUUCUUUUAUUCACACACCCCAUCACUCCUUUACCCUUCCCCACACCCUUCACUGCCCUAAUGCUUCUACUAAUGUUAUUUCCAUUAAUCAAUUUACCAAAGACAACCAUUGUUCACUGACCUUAUAUCCCAAUUCCUACCGUGUUCAGGACCUUCAAACGGGGAAGAUGCUUUUGCAAAGCCGGAGUAAAAAUGGUUUUUAUCCAUUUUUCAGUUCUUAUGUGGUCAACCAUGGAGUCUCUGCAUUUGUCGGUGUUAGAGUGUCGGAUGCUAUUUGGCAUUCUAGGUUAGGACACCCUGCAAGUUCUGUUUUGCAUAGUCUAAUUUCCCAAAAUAAAUUACCUUUAACUAGUAAUGCAACCUACGACUUUUGUUCAUCAUGUCCCCUUGGCAAAAGUCAUAAGUUGCCUUUUAAUUUAUCUUCUUCCCAGUCAUCGUUUCCUUUGGAAUUAAUACAUUCCGAUGUAUGGAUUUCUCCUUCUUAUUCAAUUAAUGGUUACAAGUAUUAUGUUGUUUUUGUGGAUGAUUUUUCUCGUUAUGCAUGGCUCUAUCCUUUAAAAUUAAAGUCUGAUGUUUUUCAAACCUUUGUUAAUUUCAAAAAGCUUGCAGAAAAUAUGUUCAAUACCAAAAUUAAAUUUUUUCAAUCUGAUGGUGGAGGAGAGUUUGUCAAUUCCUCUUUUAAACACCUUUUCUCUCAACAUGGCAUUCAUCAUAGACUUAGUUGUCCUCAUCAUCCUGAGCAAAACGGUCUCGCAGAACGCAAACAUCGUCAUCUUGUUGAAAUUGGCUUAACUUUACUUGCUCAUGCGUCUCUCCCUCACACUUUCUGGGAUGACGCUUUUCAAACUGCAAAUUAUCUCAUUAAUCGUCUUCCCACCAAAAUUUUGAAUGGCGUCUCUCCUUUCCAAAAACUGUUUUCAAAAUCCCCCCAGUAUGAUUUUCUCAAAGUAUUUGGUUGUGCUUGUUUUCCCUAUUUACGUCCUUAUACUGAUUCUAAACUUAAGUUUCGAUCAAAACAAUGCAUUUUCUUAGGCUACUCAUUAAAUUAUCAAGGUUAUAAAUGUUAUGAUCCUACCACUGGCAAGUCUUUUCUGUCUCGUCAUGUUGUUUUCAAUGAAAAAAGUUUUCCAUCGAAAGAACUUGCUCCUCCGACCUUGUCAAACUCUCGUCCGUUGGACCAUGUCCUUGACAUUGAUACCUUCCAUUACACCCAACCACAGUUGACCCCUCUGAUCCCUCCUUCCCUUCCAACACCGAUUGUCGCCACCUCCCCACCUCAAUCCCUACCACUACCUACCCCAGACUCCCAUUCUCCCAUCAACUUCCACUACUCAAGUGAAUAUAGAACCUGCCAACACCACUUCACAUACUGUUCCUUCCACUCAUCCCAUGAUCACGCGUGGUCAACAAGGAAUUCGAAAACCAAAUCCCAGAUAUGCUUGUAUCACUAACGUUACUAAUACUUUGGUUAAGCCCACAUGUUUCUCACAGGCAAAUAAGUCUCCACAAUGGCGCCAAGCCAUGGCAGAUGAAUUCAACGCCUUACAGCGUACUGGCACUUGGACUUUGGUACCCUACAAGUCUUCUAUGAACGUGUUACCAAAUAAAUGGGUGUAUCGCAUCAAAACAAACUUUGAUGGUUCCAUCGAGCGUUUUAAAGCUCGCCUAGUUGCCAAUGGUUUUCAUCAGCAAGAGGGCAUUGAUUUCUGCGAAACCUUCAGUCCGGUGGUCACACAUGCCACAAUUCGGCUCAUUCUCUCUAUUGCUCUUCACUUUCAGUGGCCUAUCUGCCAACUUGAUGUUCAAAAUGCCUUCCUUCAUGGCACGUUGAAUGAGGAAGUUUAUAUGCGUCAACCUGCAGGGUUCAUUGAUCCACAGUUUCCCUCUCAUGUGUGUCGACUUCGACGGUCUCUCUAUGGUUUGAAACAAGCACCCCGUGCUUGGUUUCAAUGUUUUUCCCAGAAACUAGAACACUUGGGCUUCACUGCUUCUCAAGCUGACUCGUCUCUCUUCACCUAUUUUGAUGGCUCAACAAUCAUUUAUCUUCUCAUCUAUGUGGAUGACAUUUUAAUCACAGGGAACAACAAUGCUCACUUGUCUCAGUUUAUCACGCAGCUUGGCACUCAUUUUGCAAUGAAAGAUCUUGGGCCCUUACACUACUUCUUGGGGAUGGAGGUUUCCCGGACGCCUUCUGCUUUCUAUCUUACUCAAUCCAAGUAUAUUUUGGAGCUUCUACAGAAAACUAAUAUGGCUGACGCCAAGCCCAUCUCAACGCCAGUUCGCAGUGGUAAACGCUUGAGUUUAUAUGAUGGUGAGCCUUUCUCAGAUGGAUCUUCUUUCGCAGUGUUGUGGGCGCCCUUCAAUACCUUCUAUUUACACGUCCUGAUAUUGCUUAUGCUGUCAACCAAGUGUGUCAGGUCAUGCACUCUCCAACUACUGCACACUGGGCUGCAGUCAAACGCAUCCUACGGUAUUUGAAAGGCACACAUGAUCACGGCUUACUUUACAAACCCAGUCCUCUCACUCUCACUGUGUUCCCUGACGCUGAUUACACUGGCGACCCUGAUACCCAUCGUUCCACUGGCGGUCACUGCAUAUUUCUUGGCAAUAAUUUAAUCUCCUGGAGUUCGAAAAAGCAACGUGGAGUGUCACGGUCUAGCACAGAGGCGGAGUAUCGUCAACUUGCCUAUACUUCUGCUCAUCUCUCAUGGUUUCGUAAUCUUUCCGUGAUUUAUAUCUUCCAUUACAGCCACCUCGUCUCUGGUGUGACAAUAUCAGCGCCAUUGCUAUUGCUUCCAAUCCUGUUUAUCAAGCUCGCAUGCGCCAUGUUGAAGUGGAUUAUCACUACAUCCGGGACAAGGUCAUUUGCAAGGAAAUAGAAGUUGGUUAUGUAGCUACCACAUACCAAAUUGCUGAUUUUUUAACCAAGGGUUUGUCCUCUGUCCGCUUCCAUUAACUUAUCUCCAAGCUUCCUGUUCGUCAACGCCCCGUCAGCUUGCGGGGGCGUGAUAAACCUAGUUCGGAAACCCUAAUGAACAACCGGUCCACGUCAGCACCACCAAACCUUCUCGCUGCAAUCUGCAACAGAAAGGAUCAUAACUGUUAAACCACUAGCUGUACAUCCUGGACAAAAGGAAUGGUGCACAUGGACACAACAUUCCUUUACGGCUUGUCUACCACAUGGUUUCUGCACUUGUGUUGUGAUUGCUGCAUCGUGGGCAUCGUGGGCAGCAAGAACAGCAUUUGCUGUGCAUUUGUUUAUUGCAACAUCACUUGCUGUGCAUUUGUUUAUUGCAACAUCACUUGCUGUGCUUUUGUUUAAUGCAUACGUGUCCUUAUCAGUGUAUAUAAAUAUAAACUCUGAUGUCCAUUGUAAGAAGUGCAGUGUAAUAAUAAACCAGUUUCGAAUACCAAGUUUUUCAGUCUGCACAUAUUUGGCCCUCGAAUUAAGAUCCUUGCCUUGUAUCGAAUGCAACUGAGGGUUUUUACUUUAGGUGACCACCUUUCCCUUCUAUGGCUCGUCACUCAAUUGAGGCAACAAAAGCCCCAAAGACAAACUCGCCUACAAGGUGUUGUCGACAUCACACAACCAACCAAUUCUUCAGCUUCCCCUGCUUUGAGUAAACCUCCACCAUUUUCUUCCACUUAACAUCAGCCUAUUGCUCGAGCUCAGGAUACUUGAUAUAGCUUAAUAUGUCAUGCGGAAGCAGCGCGGCAUCGCUAGGAUCAAUCUCAUUGGCUGCAGCCAGUUGCUCUCUUGUACUCCGCUCUAUAAAACCUCAUUCCUCAGUUGGUCAAUACAACAAACAUUACCAUCCCCUUCUCGGAGGCAUGAUUCUGGUGGGAAAACCUUCCUUGCAAUGUUUUCGAAUAACAUAAGAUGAUCAACGGUGGUAGGCAAAGAGUAGCCACUUGGGUAAUCUCCAAGCAGUAAUCAUCAUGAUGGUCAUGGUCAUGGUCCUUGUGAUGAUGAAAAUUUUCAAUAUUAGACUUGAAGCACUGGGCAAAAAUAUCUGAAACACAGUCGUGCAAGAAGCAGUAAUCAGCGUUGCGCUCGUAUCUCUGAACCGCCUUGUUGGCCGUGUGGAUCGCCUUCCUCCUCAACAAAAAUUCGCUUGCCUUUGACUUGGCGUCCUUUUCCUUAACAUUCACCAUUCCAUUUGAAUCGGCCUCCUCCCUCGUCCUCCCAAUAAAUUUCAAGUGAGCUUCGCCCCGUACAACCUGCGAGAGAAUGCAGGGAAGGUCUAGGUCCGAAUGAGCCGGAAAUUGGCACGAGAUUGUAAGCAAGGGUUUUGGGGUGGUUCUGGUGGAGCCAAACCGCCGCCGUGAAGAAAGCUUAGUCUUGGUUGCGUUUUCCACCGUCGCCGCGUCUGUCUAUGAAGUUGCAGAUGAGUUUGAGGGUGGUUAGAGGAUUGUGCGACCAGGCCGAGGGAAGUACUUAGUUCAUCAGAGUUUCGUGGAAUUCCACUGUCGACAUGGCGUCUUGUCCCUUGAUGCAGUGGAAGUACAGAUCAAUGUAAGGGUUGUUGAUGUUGUGGAAGCCUAAUUGAGGUUGUUGUUUGAAUUUGAACUGCUCGGGCAACAGCAAAGAGGGCGGAGGCGGAGCAAUUCUUGUGAAUUGCGGCCAAACAGCCUUGUUUCGGCAUGCUUCCAGAAUCGAUAUCAGUAGUAGGAAU
rnacentral:lncRNA from 1 species